rnacentral:lncRNA from 1 species
UAGUGUGAUGCACAAAGGUGUGUAUAUCCCUUCCUGGGAUGUGUGUGGUUUGUGUAUGUCUGCGUAUGGUUGUUUCUUGUUGUUGGAUGGUUACUUGGGCCCUUCACCAGUCCAGAGAUGUACUUGUGGUUCCUUGUAUUGUUGAUUUCUUUUGGCAAUGGUUGUGAUGUGGCUUGUAAGAUUCGUAUUGGACUGAUUCCGACAAUAACAAGUCGUUCAUGUGUUCCUGUACUCACCCAAUUUAACUCAUCAAUUAUCUGGUGUGCAAAGCCUACGGUUAGCGACUUAUACUUGCGCAAAAGACUUUUUCACUCAAGCAGAUUUUACCAUGAUUGUCAUGAUUUCUUCAUGGUCAAAAAUUGUACAAACACACAUGGAGAACAUAUUUUCACAUAGAGUUUGCCAUAGGCUACAGAUAGUAUCUCUGAAUAGACAAGUUUAACUGCAGAAAUAACUACACAUAGAUAAUAUAAUAUAUGUUGAACCUCUAUGUUAUACUCCCUCCGUUCCGCAAUAUAAGGUGUCUUUACUUUUUCAAAAGUCAAAUUUGUGCUUGUUUUUACCAAGUUUUUAGAAAAAUACUUUAAUGACUACAAUAUCAAACUUGUAUCAUCAGAUCCAUCCUUAAAAAUGUAUUUUUAUAUUUUAUUUAUUUUGUAUUAGGAGUGUUGAUAUUUUAUUCCAGAAUCCUAGUCAAAUAUACAUAUAUGUUGUGACUUUCACGGAUUUAUGCACCUUAUAUUCUGGAAUGAGGGAGUAUUAUUCUUGAUAAAUAUAACAGUAUGAAACAAGCUACAGACAAAAUCUCUGAAUUGAACUGGCAAACACAUAAAGCACAUGCUUCACAGUAAUGCUGGACCAUGGAGAGGUUUUGAACAAUACUAUGCGCAUUCAGUUCACAGGUGAUGCAUUAUCCAUACAUAACUAUAGCUCAAAGGUCAAAAAAAAACAUGCAACACCUACAGAGCAUAGGAUUUCUAACAAGGAUGAACCAUUAUACAUCAUCACACUCAUGCGGCGUUGCAAAUCACAAGCAUAUAUGAUUCGUUCUCAUCAAACACAUAAAAACAAUUGAUAUCUCAACCUGUCAACCAUAUCAGUCUUCCAGACGAGUCUCAACACAGAGUUCAGAAACUGCCUCAGUCCGCCACACUCAACUCGUGAAAUUAUGUUUAUUAAAGAGACGCAUAGCAUUAGGAUUCUUCAAAACUGCAUUGGAUCUUGGCACCUGGUUUUUCCUGCGACUCAGGAAUUCGAGGGCCUUUUUAAUGUGCUCUGUUGACCGAACAUCUUUCAGCAGAAUUGUUUCAGGUCUGAUAAACAUUAGCAACCAUUAGAAUAACAGUUUAAAAGAAAAUCAUACGAGAAGACAGGACCAUGAAAAUUACCCAGUAGUUGCAGUUUUCAAUCUUUUCUUCUUCUUUUGGACAUUCUGGUUUACAUUUUCUUCCUCAGAAUCUGAUGAGAAGGUUUGCCUGAAAAAAAAUAUGAAGACAGGGUAAGCAAUAAUGUCCAAAAAGAUUAAAAAGGAUUUAAAUGUAUGGCAGUUUGAAGGCGGUAAACAUACUUCUCACGUGCUGCAAGCAUUUCAAUUACGCUCUUGGGAAGUGUGCCAGGCAUAGCAUGUGUCUCCUCAUCCACUUCUGUAUCUUUAUCUUCUACUUUCAGAGGCUUCUUUUUAUUCGGUUUUGAGGAUGUUUUCCGUUGGGCCCAGCGUUUCCUCCGGUCUUUCUCCUCCUGGGUUGCUCUACAAGAUUACACGUUGUCAGGUCAGAGAGGGUACCAUCAGCAGGAAAAGUGACAUCAAUUAGUGACUAACAUAAGUCAACAGUAUAUAUAAAUAGUCAGUUCGGAUGGAUGUUCCCAAAAAGACAGAAACAACAUGCGUUUGCCAACAGAUUACAAGAAAUGGGGGUAAGCCUAUUUGCAACUACAGAUUUGCCACUGAAAAUGCACUACUCAUGUGUCAAUGACACGAGGGUCCAAGAAGAGAUCAUGGCAAAUGUGUAAACCCAAAACGCAAUAGUGACAUGUGUUCAAUAGGCAGGACUAGAAAUUGAAAAUUUUGAGGUAGUAUGCACAGAAAGCUCUAAGUUUAGGGUGAAAGGGAUGGUGAUGUGCCACAUUCCCCCCAAAGCCGCAACCCGUGAGGAAUUACCCUGUUAUAGAGGAAGGGCAUGAGAAGUAUUCAUCCCUGAAGCCAACCCCAGGGUGGGUAUUACCGCCCUGGUGUUGGGGAUACCUCCCCCAUCAACAAUCACCUUCCCAGUGCCCACAAGUAUAUGUUCUUAUAUACGCCCAAGUUGCCACAUCUGCAAGUCUAAAGCAUAAGCAUUUGGUCUCUACCCUUACAAAUUUCUGCAUAACCUUGUACAGUUUCUUUAUUUAGCACUCCACCAUCUUUUUGUGGACUAAUAAGACUACAUGUUUAUACUUAAUCAUAUAAUAAACACAUAAAAUGAACUCAACAUCACUGAACUUUAGGUAUUUACAGGAAAAUACUACCCCAAAAUCCCUAGUGAGGAUGGGAGGCAGCAGAAAAGGUGCCACAAUAGCUAAAUGUGCAUAUGAAUGGUAGGCAAUCAUCGCUCAUGACGAAUGACCUGUGGCCAUCCCGCUGCUGAAGCAGUAUAAACCAAUAUAGACCAGAAAAUCACUUAUUAGACUAAUGUAGCAUGUUUUUGGCUUUAGGAUUUUUUUUAUGAGACCCGCAAAAUCUACAACGGAAAAUCGGAAAUUACAUGGAGCGAGAGCAACAGAACGAAUAAUGAUGAGCUUAACUUCUCAAAGUCAUCUCCACGUGUCCACUCAAACAGUAUCAGAAGUGCAAGACGCAAACCUGACAGCACUGUCCUUCUCUACUUUGCUGAUUUCUUCAUGUUUCUCCACACCCUACAAGGCAUCAACAGCAGGAAAGAACACUCAGCAUCAUGUAGACAUACUCCGACAGGAACUAGAUUAAAGAAUGGAGGAAGCUAGACGAAAAGCCACCACCGAGACUACAGAAGUUUGCUUGAUCCUGACAAUGAGCACAAGUCUUCCUAUAUGGGUCUCCCUGCUCAUCAUGAUUUUGUGCUGCUUUAUGUAAAGCUUGCAUCCCCAGCAGUGUUGGGUUCUAAGUAUGUGUUGUUCACUCUUGGCCGAUUAGAGCUUUUAUUGAUCUAAAUCCGGGCUCAUUUCGAACCUUUAUGUCUAUAUAAAUUAUAAAGACAAGAAAUUCCUGUUCCCGGAGCGUAGUAAUCGGCCUUGGUGGGAAGUACAGGUGCUCCUAACUAGGCGGAAUACUUCAGGUUUGCUGCUACCGGAAAGUACACACGCGCAGCACGCGGACUCCUCGCACACUCCUACGUCACCCAGGCUUUACCAGCGCGAGCUCUCGUCUCACAGGACCGGAGGGAAUAGCCAAGGAACGUACCUGGACGGCGGUGAGCUCCUCGGGGGCGCCGUCGGAGUCGCUUCCGCUGUCCAUUUAUGAGCUGAGACGUUGCCGGUCGGAGCUCCUCUCUAUUGUGGUCGCUAGCCUCCGUCUCCGCCGCCGCCGCCGCCGCCGCCGUGGGAGUGGGUACUUGCGAGGGUUUGAAGCGGGUGCGGACGGGAAGGGAGGAAGGAAAGCCGGGCUUUUCUCCUUUAGUUCCCCUCUCUGGGCCGCCCACCUGGGCCCGUUGGGCUUAUUUCUUUUUUGAGAAGUCCCGUUGGGCUUAUCCUAAUGCGAUCGGGUUGGAAGUGGACUCGGACACCAGAUUUCCUCUACAAAUUCGAAGGCACCACUCAAAAAAAAUACAAAUUCGAAGGCAGAACUUAUUNNNNNNNNNNNNNNNNNNNNNNNNNNNNNNNNNNNNNNNNNNNNNNNNNNNNNNNNNNNNNNNNNNNNNNNNNNNNNNNNNNNNNNNNNNNNNNNNNNNNNNNNNNNNNNNNNNNNNNNNNNNNNNNNNNNNNNNNNNNNNNNNNNNNNNNNNNNNNNNNNNNNNNNNNNNNNNNNNNNNNNNNNNNNNNNNNNNNNNNNNNNNNNNNNNNNNNNNNNNNNNNNNNNNNNNNNNNNNNNNNNNNNNNNNNNNNNNNNNNNNNNNNNNNNNNNNNNNNNNNNNNNNNNNNNNNNNNNNNNNNNNNNNNNNNNNNNNNNNNNNUCUCAAAAAAAAAAAAAAAAUCGAAGGCAGAACUCAAGAAGGAAAGGGAAAAGGAAACGGAGGGCGCACGACUACUGGGCCAAAACAGCCUGACGCGGCCGGAGCAGCAUCAUGGCGGCAUGGAUGGGCGUGGAGGAGCGCGGCGAGACGCUGCGGAGCACCGCCGAGGAGCUCGUCGGCGAGGACGAGCUGCUCCCGCUGCUGCACGGCAACCCCAGCCCGGUCUGCCUCAACAGCUUCGAGCCCUCCGUCUCCGGCCGCGUGAACAUCUGGCAGGUCAAUGAUAAUUCUCUGAAUCUCAACUUGCCGGCCGGCCAAGUUGCACCGCAUGCUCCUGCCCUAAAUUCCUUGAGAUUUGUAAGCAAAGACUGAGACACAUACUGCCCUUCUUCUCUUGUUUUUGUUUCUCAUCAGGGUGUUGGGAAGGUGAUCAAUGUGAACAAGAUGGUGAGGGCCGGAUGCAGAGUGAAGAUCCUCAUAGCGGACCAGCGGACUGGAGCGAAGGACUCGAGCGAGAUCAGGGCCGCCGGUCGCCACGCGAUCGAGGUCUGGAAAGCCCUGGGCAUGAGCUCGGACGGGGUGGACUUCCUCUGGUGCUCCGAGGAGACGAGCAGGCGCGCGCACGAGUACUGGCCGCUCGUGAUGGGGAUUUCCCGGAACCACCGCGUCAGAUCGUUAGCGAGGUACUCCUUCCGUCCAUGUUUACACGACGUUUUAUGUCUAAACUUUUCCAUCAAUUUCAGCAUAAUCUAUUAAUCGAUCCACCAUCUCCUUUCACGUAGGCAUAGUGCUGGUCCUGUACGAUUUUAGUUGUCAUGUCAUUUUUUUUAAAUCUUUUCUGCUGUUCAACUUUUUAUUUUCUGUAGUUCAACUAUUGGUAUUUGACUGUGUGCAUCGUAGUUAUGCUGAAGUGGGUGUUACUUAUUAUGAUUUAUAUCCGUUUGAUGCUACAUUUUGAGUUCAUAAAAGAGUUAUAUUAUCCAAAAAAUAAUUUAAUCUAUAAUAUAGUUAAGCAGAAGUGGGGUAUUACUGUAUUAUGAUUUGUAUUUGUUUGAUGCCCCAUUUUAAGUUAAUAAAAGCAUUAUUUUAUUCAAAAUAAUAAUUUAAUCUAUAAUAUAUUAAUCAUUUGUCACAAAACACACACAGUUUGAUACUGCUUUUGAAUAUGAAUUAAAUGGUAUAAUUUUUGUGGCACAUAAUCAACGUUCCAUUAGUUAGAUUAGCGGUUAAAGUUGAACCUCCAAAUACCCAUGCGCCAUGUAAAUAGGAACAAUUGCGUGCAUGCAUGCGGAUCUAUGUCGAUAUGUAUGUGAUAAUUGUUCCGUUUGUUUUUAGCAUGCAUGCGGAUCCUGAAAAUGUGGCGUGUAAUCAGCUCUUGGAGCCCCUCAUGAAGUGUGCUGAUAUACUCUUCCUCGAGGUUUGUAUGUUGUCUACCUACCAUUAUUUAUACCUUUUGUGGGGUGUAUACAUGAGGUUUUACAUUCUAGCUUAUGGAGGAGAAAAUAGUAAAUCUAAAAUGCUAACUAAACCGCUGAUUUCUUUUUUUGACUAGAGGUCUGACAUUAUAUUUAUUCAAUGACUAAGAAGCCAAAAAAAACACUGAAAAACUAUAAAGUUACAUCAAAACGCCAACACAGAACCUCCGAUCGCAUCUUGAUGUCCCAUGGUAAAAAAAAACAUAGAUGACCAUAACUGCAUGAGCUUGUUUAACUAUGAGUAGCCGCAUCAGCCCUCUACCACGACAAAUGAGAAUCUUUGAUUACCAAAUGCACGAUGGUUGUGAACACUCCCCUCACAAGGCAGGUUGGCGAGCAAUUGCUUUAUCAAAAAACAUGAUAAUGAUAGGACAAAGGGGAGAAACCAUGACACCACUAGCUCGGCGGCAUCAGCCGCAAAGGCCACGUCGAGACCGAGAUGGAGCUGGAAAACAUUCCACAUGAAGUUGCCUGGGUGUUUUUUCUCUCAUUGGUCAAUUUGGUGUGUGAGGGAUGAGGCCGAGGGAAAAGUCCCAUUAAGGCAAGCACAAUCACAAUCGAUCAUCAAGAGGCACCAGGAUAUCCGUGUGUCUACGAUGUGAUGCACACCCACGGCCACUCAUUGUUCCCCACAUGCCUUCAUCCUUCAUCGUUCGUGCAUAUCUCAUUCUUUUACCUUGGAUAGGAACUUCUCUCGAGUUGGAGAUGGCUAUUCCAGGAGGCUCACUUCCUUUCAUUUGACCGGGCUUCAGUUUAAACAUAUUAAAUUAUGAGUCAACUAGCAAGUGCAUGUGCUACGCCGUGUAACCACAGAAACAUAAGGUCGAAUUUGGUUUACUUAAGAACCUUGUAUGCUAGCUUAAAUGAGUUUUGACAAUUGGCACAGAUGACACGUGUGAGAGUUGCGUGGAAAACUAGGUGACUAGUGAACGUAUGACCAGUAACUCGAAUCUUUAUAAGUGGGAAAAGAUAAUCUGAUCUAUCCCUUCAACGUUACUUAAUAUGAAUCACACUUCUUCAACUGGACUUUUCAUUUUCCCAAAACAUCAUGUUUAACAAUAGCUAAUUAGAGAAAGUGAAUAUGAAUUUAGAGGUUCUAAGGUUGUGUCGGCCCGAGUGCUUGGUGUAGGUAAUGCUUUCUGAUUCUAACCCUAGUAAUCCCUCCAUUUUUGUUUACUUCAAUAUUAGCUUUGUCGUAAGUCAAACUUUUUGAAAUUUGAUCAAGUUCUUAGAAAAAAAAUCAGUAUCAUUAGAUCCGACAUGAAAUAUAUUUCUAUCUUGUAUUUGUUUGGUAUAUUGUAGAUGUUGAUAUUUCUUUCAUACAAAGUUUGAUCAAACUUUAUGAAAUUUGACUUACGACAAACCUAAUACGUGGAUUAAAUAAAAACAGAGUACUGCCUUUUACCACUUAGAUUUACUCACCACAAGUAUAUAUUGAUAUGGAAAUUUGGAUCCACAAAAGUGGAUGGCUUGGAACGAUUGUAAAAGCUGCCAUGGUCUACUAAUACAGAAUCUUGAUAGUUAUAUUUUCUUUUUGUAGGCAGACAUAUGCCAGAUGGGCGUGGAUCAACGAGAGGUGAGUAUGAUGGCUAGAGGAUACUGCGAGCACAUUGGAAGGGCAAAUAAACCAAUAUUUCUGUUGCAUCGUAUCCUAUAUAGUUUUUGACGAGGAUGAUGUUAUUCACAGAUUUAUUAAUGUAUAUGUCUAUGUGGUGUAAGAUAUAGCUUGGUUUGUCAAAAUGUGUUUCUCCUUGACACUAAUUAUAGAUGUGCUACCUGGUUUCAAAGAAGGACAGCAGAGAAUGUCAGAGAGUGAUCCACUGUCAGCUAUUUUUAUGGAAGACACUGAGGUUUUUCUCACAAAACUCAUCUUUACUUCCUCCCAGCAUUGCUAUAUUGAGCUCUUGAUUAGUGGGAACGUCCAUGCCUAAUGUUAUGGUGUGCAAUUUUUUUCUUCCGUGGCAAUAAUUUCAUUAGCAACAUGUUUUUUGCAGUCUGAGGUUACAAAAAAGAUAAAGAAGGCUUUCUGCCCUCCCAAGAUUACUCAAGGAAAUCCAUGCUUGGAGUACGUAGAGCAUAUCGUUCUCCCUUGGUUUAGAGAGUUCGAGGUGGUCCCACCUGAUGGCGGUAACAGGUAGUAACUUUUUUCCCCAAAGACAACCAAAAUAUAUUUCCCUAAAGAAAAACACUAGCAGAAUAUAUUAUUGCUGCAAGCCUGCAAUCGAUAAAAGAGCUCUUGCAAACGUCUGCCUACCGCAAUAUCUGUCAAGAAAGAAUCCAAUGAUAUGGCACGAUUUUGAUAGCUGUGUUCAACUGUAACAUCUGUUUGUUUGGUCUUAAGCCGGACCUACGUAGGAAUUGAAGAACUCCGCGAGGAUUACGGCAGUGGCACUGUGCAUCCCCGUGAUCUGAAACUUGCUCUUGCAAAAGCAAUAAACCAGAUAUUGCAGGUAAGAGACACCCCCAAGUCAAUUUUUCUAUUCCAGUAGAACAGGGUGUAAAGUGGACUUGUUUGAAAGUCAUGAUAAGUUUAUUUCCAUGCUAUUGCUUUUAUUCGAAAAAAUACUUCUAUACUGCCUUAAAGAUCUUACCAGUGCCUCAUGUAAACAGCUUGUACGUGAUCACUUCGAGAAAAAUUGCGAAGCCAAAGGUCCGUGUGACGAUGUUAAGGUAUGCCCCUUAAAACUCACUUGGAUGAAUGCUCACAAUCAUUUUGGUUGUCAUCGGACUACAUUCUUUCUUCAGAAAUGUUGUCAAACUGAACAACUUCUAUCCUCAUGCAUCAUGCCUCCAAGGCCAAUAAGCAUUUUAUUGUCAGUUUUAAAAAAAUAAGCAUUUUAUCUGAUUUUCACAAACUCAUUUCAGGUUUUAGUUGAAUUGACUUCUUGAAUCAUGCAUUUUAGUAGCAUUUGCUUGCUCUUUUGAGUAUAAUACUCCCUCCGUUCCUAAAUAUAAGUCUUUUUAGAGAUUUCAAUAAAAUCUACAUACCAAUGUAUAUAGGCAUAUUUUAGAGUGUAGAUUCGCUCAUUUUGCUCCGUAUGUAGUCCGCAUUGGAAUCUCUACAAAGACUUGUAUUUAGGAACAGAGGGAGUAUAGUUACUCAAAUUGAAUUGCAAUUUUGUAUUGUAUACAUCAUGGCAAACAUUGACAAAUGUGCAAGGCUGUUUUGCAGUGAGAGGAGCAGCCAAGAUAACCAAGAACUUAUGCAUGUUCUGUCAACAAUCAUUCCUAGAGUUAUGUGCACUUCAAACUAUUGCAAUCAAGAUAGCCAAGAACUACAGACAUAUUUUGGAAGAAACCGUUUUACAAACUAUGUAUGGUUUUCUUAUUUCAAGGAAUUUUGUGUACUUUGAGCUAUUCCCUCAUAUCAAAAUAUAAGGUGUUUUUGGGUCUAAAUCUAGAGAAAAAAAGGUUUUAUAUUUUGAUACAGAGGGAGUAUUUUCCAUUACUGUGUUUGAAUGACACUGUGCACUUGCACAACUUCAAGUGGCUAUCCAUCUAAAAGCAUUCUUUGGUGUACUCUCUAGAUAAAUCAGCAUUUCUGCAAGAGCAUGCUAUUACUCAUCCAAAAGUCUGAACUGAUGAAGGAAAAUGGGCACUCCCCCUCACGUCUAGGCUUAUUUAGUCCUUACAUGGGAUCGAUGUAGGCCGCAGAAUCGUUUUUAUUGGCACCCCCCUCACGUCUAGGACCUCUUGGCUCGGAUACCAUAUUGAAUUCAUGCUCCAGCCAACUCAUCCAAAAGUCCGAACUGAUGGAGGGAGGCGUGCAAUAUAUUUCAACACUUACAUAUUGAAUUCAUGCUCCAGCCAACUCAUCCAAAAGUCCGAACUGAUGAAGAAAGACGUGCAAUAUAUUUCAACACUAGUGUUAGUGCAUCAUAGCUUUAGUGAUCUAAAUGAUCUUAUAUUUCUUUAAAGAGGUACUCCCUCCGUCCAAAAAACUUGUCCCUCAAAUGGAUGUAUCUAGCACCAAUUGCUAGAUCCAUUUGAGGUGGUGCUAGAUAUGUGCUAGAUACAUCCAUUUGAAGGGACAAGCUUGGGUCAAGCUUUUUCGGACGGAGGGAGUAUGAAAUAGGGAAUGAGUAACAAUUCAGCUUCAGUAUGUCAAAAGCCUAGCAUGCCAAAGAGGUAAAAGGGGGAUUAAAAUCAGCUAACUAACACUGUAACUUUGAGGAAGAGUAAACAGACCAUAAACAUGCAAUGCAACUCCCCAGAUUGUAAUAGUGCCCGUACUAGACACACCACUAGCGUGAUCUUGACUCACGUGGCCGAAGUUGGGUUUAUGACUUCAACCCAAGUUUGCCCAUAGAUAGUUGUGCAUGAUCAAUCUGGAAUUCUGGAUACACUGUUACUCAAGUAGAUUUAACAAGGAACAUCAAAUUAGUACCCAAGAAGGCAAUACAUAAGCUCAUAUAUCUCAGUUCUCUGUUACUUCAACCCACAUACUUAGGAGAAAUAUCUCAAUUCAGAGAAGCAGCAGAUGGAAAUACUAAUGCUAGUGGAAGAAUAACACUGGCCAGUCUUCAUAAGGCACACUCCAGCAACCUAAAGAUAACCCAGAGGCUUGAACUGGCCAGAGCUAUCUCGCAUUUCGAAAUAGGUUGGCAUAUAGCAGAGGCAGAGAAAAGGGUCAUCAAAUGAGAAGUCAGAUCCUUUCGAGAGGCUCCAAGCACUAGGAAAUUUGCUGAAGGUGAGUUGCAAUUUAUCGCCUCCACUGGCCCAUUUGGCACCUUGCAGAGCUUUCAUCUUGAUAGCAAUCUCUUCAGGCGCAGCAUAUCUUCCAAACUUCAACUCAACCACCAUCCGCUCCAGCACCUCUGCAUUCUCAGCAAUGAACAUGAGAAAGGCAAACUCAUUCUCAUGCCCAUGGUACUCACGGAAAACGAUUCUUUUGAGGCGCGAUCGGACGCACUCAAUCAUACCAUUCUCCUGCCAGAACUUGAGGCGGAGGUUACCAGUGGGUUCAUGAGUUUCCUCGGACUGCAAACAUAUAUCGACCCAUAGUUGAGCUAUAUGCAAUGACAGAUAAUACAGGAGCAAUGUGCUGCUAUCCCGUAAAUGAUAGGAAAAAGUUAGUUUUACCUGAAUAAGAAGAACCUCGACGUUCGGAAAGCACCUGAGGAAGCUAGGCAGCAUCUUGACUUCAUUGCGGAUUCCAAAAUGUAGGCUCAAUGCUAACAUCUGGACACUGGGGACAAUCGUCCUUGGGCUCACCUGUGUACUAGCCUGCAAGGGACCAAAUGAGCAUAAAACUGAUCGCACAUCAUUCACAUUUGCUGAUCGAUAGGCAGACAAGCACAUAAACAGGCCUUUUUGCAUGCAUAUCAUCAAAACAAACAAAUGGAACUCAGGAAUGGGCUGACAGAGACAUAGAGCUGCACCUUGAUGGUGGUGUUGCCAACCUCCAGCACAUGCCAUCCUGGCCGUAAGUAUCCCAGCAAACGCAGCUGUGGAGCACGACCAAUCUUGACUCUAAUGCUUGUUUUGCUCCUGGCCGUGCCGAGGCCGUGGCUUGAGCAGCACCAGAUGAAGAGACGCUCAAGGCAUGGGGCGUCCACCACAGCGACCUCCUCCACAGUGGACAAGCAGAAUUGCGCGCACCGUAGGCUCUGACUGGCAAGACGAGCGUGCAGUUGGGUCUGGCUUCCAACGACCGCGAGGAUCUCUAGCACGGGGCUGGCGGCGAGCACGAAGUCGAGAUCCUUGUCCGUCAUCAUGACGCAGCCGAGGACGAGCUCACGCAGAUUGGGGAAAGCAGCGCCGCGCGGGAGGGUGGCGGUGUCCGGAAACAGCCAGGCGCCGAGGUAGAGACGGGUGAGAGAGGCGCAGCUGAAGAGCGCGACUGGGAGGCAGACGCCACGGGGGAGGGGCCACGGGCGGUUGACGAGGACGAGCUCGCUGACGCCUUUGGUGGCGAGGAGCUGAACCCAGCGCGCGAGCACGCCGCGGUCGGCGCGUUCCAGGAAGCUGCAGGUGAGGCUGACGAAGGUGAAGUUCCCUUGGUGCGCCUCGAGGGCUGCGGAGACGGCGCCGGUGACGGCGCGAGAGACGGCCCCGGCGCGGCCGGGCCGGGCCCCGGCGCAUGCCGCGGGAAGGAGGUGGGUGUCGACGAGGACGAGCGGGGUGGAGCGCCAAAGGUGGUGCCAGCGCGAGGAGAGCACGGCGGUGCGCGCGCCGUCCUUGGCGGGGAGGCGGGAGACGACGCGGCGGAGGAGAUCGUCGGGGAGAAGGCUGACGCGGUCGACGCCGUCGCCGUCCUCCGCGGUGGUGCAGGAGAGGGAGGCGGCGGUGGAGACGGGCGACUCCAGGAGGUAGGAAUAGAAGAAGUUGAGCACCAUGUUUUUGUAGGGGUCCAGCGUGUCCGGAUCCAGCCCAUGCCGCAUGUCCAUGGGAACGCCCGGGUCCUCCGCGGCGGGGGAGUCGGCUCGGAGCAGUCGCGGGUAGAACCUGAGCGGCUGCCUAGCCAUGGUGGCCGCCGCACAACGGCCGUCAAGGAGGAGGAGGAGGGUUUGGGGGUUUUGGGGCUUCAGGCCGGCAUUUGGGGUAUUUUUUUCCGAGGAGGAGGAAGAGGUGCUCCGGAGAGGAGUGACCGUGUGGAAGCAACCUUUUUUUUAUUUGACGCAUACCCUCGCCCCUAUGAACGCACACCCGCACAUACUACCUCUAUGAGCACCUCCGAAAGACUGAGCCGGCAUAUCAUCUUGAAAUUUUAUGAAGUCACCGUAGGCGCCUCGUAGUCGACGGGAACGUCUGUGUCACCGGAAAUCCUGAAAUAAAUCCAGGGUAAAUGCAAGCACCACGAUUUGUACCCUGGUGGGCCGGGAUACCACUGUCCAUCUAACCAUCCAACCACAGGUUGGUUCGCGUGUGAAAGCAACUCUACCUCUAGCACAAAAUUGGCUGAAAGGGUCGUGCUAGCUUUUUUUAUUUUUGAGGGGUACGGGUAGUGCUAGCUGGGCCGGCCGCGUAGCACGCAUGCACGACAAGGGCUAAACGGGCCAUGCUUGGCAUGCGACAUGUCAGGGCCUGGAGGGGUAACCCAACCGCGCCAUUGAUUACGGCGCUUGGGAGAUAAGCGAGUUUUACCAGGCUGGUGGGGACGCAUAGUUUUCGUCCGUCCAUAUAAGGGGAUAAGGAUCCACCUUUUUACCUACGCCUUCUUCCUCCUUUGCUUAUCCAUCUCCGCGCACUCGAGCUCUAGUGCCCAAGUCCGCACAUCUCGCCUCGACCUUCCCCAGCCAUGUCCGGAGCGGGAGGCAAGUGGAUGGCCUCCUCCGUCACGGAGGGGCACAUCAAAAGGUUGAGGAAAGUCGGAUACCUGCACAACGACAUUGCGCACCGGCUUCCAGACGAGGGGCAGCUUGUUGGGGAUAUACAUAACAGGUAGGCCCACGAAGGGUCGAAAUAUCAUGAAGCAUGGGGUCCACACAACAUGUGGGUCCAAGUCAAUUUCAUACAGACACACUAUCCACUCGGACAAGCAACAUACUAUCCACUCGACCAAGCAACAUAUCAUCCACUCGGAUGACGGUUCACCACUCGACCGUACGACUCACUCGGAUAUACGAAGACCAGCAGGCAGCAAGGCAGUCGACAUCUUUCUAAUAGUGAGGGCUUAAUGGCGGGCUGGCAUUAUGGCAUUCAUACCCCACUUUGUAACAUAGGAGGUGAGGGGGUGGCGCACUCUAUAUAAGUCACCCCCCACCACUAGACAAGGGGGCUUCUUCUUCCACCUUUCUCUCUUUUGACCAUUAGUCUCAGGACUUGGCUCAGGCAUGGGGAUCCGUUCCUCUCUCUCACACACAUAUUGUAAUCUCCGGAUAUAUACUCAGAUAAAACAAAGCCUCUCCGGAGCACGAGACGUAGGGUUGUUAUCUCCACCGUGAGAGGCCCGAACUCGCUAAAACCACCGUGUCACCCAUAUGCAUCUCGAUAGAUCAUGCUCCGUUCUCCUACCCCUCUCUUACUGUCAGACUUAGAACCACGACACAGCUCGUCCCCACCCCUAGGCCCCAUGAGAGGGUGGUGUUCCUUCCCAAUUUCCUCUGCGGACUGGGCUUCCCACUCCACCCAUUUGUCUGGGGGCUCAUGUCCUACUACGGCCUGGAUUUCCACGAUCUGGCCCCAAAUUUCAUCCUCAACAUCUCAGCGUUUAUCGUUGUGUGCGAGGCCUUCCUCCACAUCACACCCCACUUCGGCUUAUGGCUGAAGACCUUCAAUGUCAAGCCGAAGGUAGUGGGCGGCCAGCAGGCGGAGUGCGGAGGCUCCAUGGUGGGCAAGAUGCCCAACGUCACAUGGCCCGAGGGCGCCUUCGUGGAAACCAUCAAAGGGUGGCAAUCGGGGUGGUUCUACAUCACCGAGCCGCGUGACCCUGAAUGGGCAGCGGCCCCCGAAUUCAGAUCUGGCGUCCCCACACGGCUCACCUCCUGGAAAGAGAAGGUCCUGACAUGGGGUGAUUUGGAAGAGCUGACCGGACUCCAAACCUGCGUCCAAAACCUUGUGAAUGAGAUGAUCAAGCUCGUCAACGCAGUCCAGGUCAUGCUCAUCCGCCGGAUCCUCCCAUGCCUGUUGGGGAACAUAGUAAUUUCAAAAAAAUUCCUACGCACACGCAAGAUCAUGGUGAUGCAUAGCAACGAGAGGGGAGAGUAUGUCCACGUACCCUCGUAGACCGAAAGCGGAAGCGUUAUGACAACGCGGUUAAUGUAGUCGUACGUCUUCACGGCCCGACCGAUCAAGCACCGAAACUACGGCACCUCCGAGUUCUAGCACACGUUCAGCUCGAUGACGUCCCUCGAACUCCGAUCCAGCCGAGUGUCGAGGGAGAGUUCCGUCAGCACGACGGCGUGGUGACGAUCUUGAUGUUCUACCGAUGCAGGGCUUCGCCUAAGCACCGCUACGAUAUUAUCGAGGUGGAUUAUCAUGGAGGGGGGCACCGCACACGGCUAAGAGAUCCAAGGGAUCAAUUGUUGUUAUGUCUAGAGGUGCCCCCUGCCCCCGUAUAUAAAGGAUCAAGGGGGAGGGGGCGGCCGGCCUAGGAGGGGGCGCGCCAAGGGGAGUCCUACUCCCACCGGGAGUAGGACUCCCUCCUUCCUUGUUGGAGUAGGAGAAGGGGAAAGAGGGGGAGAGGAAGAAGGAAAUAGGGGCUGCGCCCCUUGUCCAAUUCGGACUAGAGGGGGGGGGGGGCGCAGGCCACCUUCCUUUUGGCCUCUCUCCUCUAUUCCCGUAUGGCCCAAUAAGGCCCAUAUACUCCCCGGCGAAUUCCCGUAACUCUCCGGUACUCCGAAAAAUACCCGAAUCACUCGGAACCUUUCCGAAUUCUGAAUAUAGUCGUCCAAUAUAUCGAUCUUUACAUCUCGACCAUUUCGAGACUCCUCGUCAUGUCCCCGAUCUCAUCAGGGACUCCGAACUCCUUCGGUACAUCAAAACUCAUAAACUCAUAAUAUAACUAUCAUCGAAACCUUAAGCGUGCGGACCCUACGGGUUCGAGAACUAUGUAGACCUGACCGAGACACGUCUCCGGUCAAUAACCAAUAACGGAACCUGGAUGCUCAUAUUGGCUCCCACAUAUUCUACGAAGAUCUUUAUCGGUCAGACCGCAUAACAACAUACGUUGUUCCCUUUGUCAUCGGUAUGUUACUUGCCUGAGAUUCGAUCGUCGGUGUCCAAUACCUAGUUCAAUCUCGUUACCGGCAAGUCUCUUUACUCGUUACAUAAUGCAUCAUUCCAUAACUAACUCAUUAGCUACAUUGCUUGCAAGGCUUAUAGUGAUGUGCAUUACCGAGAGGGCCCAAAGAUACCUCUCCGACAAUCGGAGUGACAAAUCCUAAUCUCGAAAUACGCCAACCCAACAUGUACCUUCGGAGACACCUGUAGAGCUCCUUUAUAAUCACCCAGUUACGUUGUGACGUUUGGUAGCACACAAAGUGUUCCUCCGGUAAACGGGAGUUGCAUAAUCUCAUAGUCAUAGGAACAUGUAUAAGUCAUGAAGAAAGCAAUAACAACAUACUAAACGAUCAAGUGCUAAGCUAAUGGAAUGGGUCAAGUCAAUCACAUCAUUCUUCUAAUGAUGUGAUCCCGUUAAUCAAAUGACAACUCAUAUCUAUGGUUAGGAAACUUAACCAUCUUUGAUUAAUGAGCUAGUCAAGUAGAGGCAUACUAGUGACACUAUGUUUGUCUAUGUAUUCACACAUGUAUUAUGUUUCCAGUUAAUACAAUUCUAGCAUGAAUAAUAAACAUUUAUCAUGAAAUAAGGAAAUAAAUAAUAACUUUAUUAUUGCCUCUAGGGCAUAUUUCCUUCAGUGCCAACAACGGGCUUUCAAAUUGUGGGAGUUUGAUCCGGCACAACACCAAACCUUGAGCAGGCUUUUUGACACUACGUACGAAGAUGCCUGGAAGGUGCUGUUCAAGGGUGCCGAGGCUCCCGCAUCCGCUACCGAAGAUCGCGGAUUCAGCUUGCAGCGUCCAGCCAGCGAGGUAAGCUAUUUUACCAUUUACGGGACACUUGUUUUUCAUAGUUUGACUCUAUGCAGGAUCUAAAACUCCCCUACCUUUGACAGGCCUGGCAAAAGACGUCCGGGCAGGUUAACUGUCCGGCUCCCUUGUCAGAAGACCCAGCAGACGCCCAAUUAACGGGGCUGCUGGCUCUGGCGCCUUACGUGGUGCCGGAGAAGAAGGCCAAGAAGAAGGCCAUGGGAACUCAGAGGAGUUCCCGACGCCAGGUGUUAUCGGACUCAUCAUCCGAUGACUCCGAGGCGGACUCCUCCCGCGAAGAAGAGGAGGAGAAAAAAGAGGCCUCUCCCCCAGCGGGGGGAGAGAAGAAAAGGAAGGCUUCCCCAACGGGGGAGGCCGAUGGGUCCAAGAAGGGGAGGACCCUCCCCCCAGACUACUCCACCAACGCUGAAGACGAUGAAGAGGAGUGGCCACCAAGGACUAAGCCCCUGGCGACAUCGUAAGUGUCCGGACACCAGAAUAAUUCAAGGCAUUUCGUUUGUCGCAUAGAAUCUCAUGACGCCGAAUACAACCCUGCAGCCCGCCCAGGAACGGGCUUGAUAUUUCGACAAGUGGCUCCCUGGCUCCGUCGGACGUGAAUAGUACUUCACUUCCGGCCGCCUCCUCUCCUCGCGCUGCUGACAACGCCGAGGUAGGGUACCAAAAGGGGCCUGGCCAGGAGGAGGAGGAGGUCCUGGAGGUGCCGCAAGGCAACCUCCCGGACUUUGGGCACGAGGGGGAUGAACCCCCAAAGGGUUCUGAGUCCGGACCUGUGCUGUACUCCGCACCGGAACCCUUAGUGGUUCAGAGUCCGGCAGGCGGCCCCUUCGUGAGAAGGGCAAGACUGUGAUGCCGGUGGCCUCCGUCCAACCGGAGGCACUGGAUAACUUGCUGGAAGCGCUCAACGGCGCCUCCAUCGAUGAGGAGCACCGCACUGUUAUGAGUGCGGUGAUCCAGAAAGUUCGGUCCGCCAAGAGCGGACUGACUGAAGCCUGUACCGGCCUUCUAACAGGCUUUGAGGUAUGUAAUUAAGAUAUGUAAAAUAGUACCGCAUAGACAGUAGCCCCUGAUGCUCAGUUUGGUGUUCGGAAAGAAAAGCCGAACUGAGGAUCUAAAAAGAUAUACGCAGGAGUCUAACACAAGUAUGUCAAUAUGGGAACGCAGGCUGCGCUGCUGAUCUCUGCCGCACUGACUGUGGAGGUCAAUGCAUUGAAGCAGAGCCUUGAGCGGUUCGAGAACGAGCUCGGCCGUGCCAAGAAGCAGCUCGAGGAUAAGGAAGAUAAGUAAUACCUUAUUAAAGUAAUACCUUAUAGAAAAGGAUUUGGUUGCAAAAAAUGACAGGAAUAACGUGAUAAUUGCAGGGGCCAUGAACGAGGUGGCGACCCUGAAGGAAGCAGUGUCCGAGGCCGAACGCAAUGCGGCCACGGAAUGCACCGAGCGAGAGAAGCAGGAGGCGCGGGUGGCGGAGGUGCGGCAAGAGCUCCAGGCUCUCGUGGAUAAACACGAGAGUUUGGAGCGUGACUCGAAGACUCGAGAGUCCGAGCUCGCCUCGGCUCUUGAGAGUGCCAAAGCCGCCAAGGCCGAAGCCCAAAAAGCCCUCUAGGAAAUUGAGGCGAUAAAGAAGAUAGCGGCGGGUAAGGCAUUCUUCAUGCAAAGCAAGCACGUGAAAGUGAAUUACUUGUUACUUACCCGAAUCCGGAGCUCUCCAGGAGCAUUCGCAGAUCUGCCCCGCAGUGUGUCCGAUGCUGCCGCAUUCUACUGGGCCGAGGAAGGGAGCUCGAUGGAGAAGGUAUUCUGGUCUCAGUAUGCUGAGGCCGGACAUCCGGUGCCCCUGAGCGACCAGCUGAAGCAGCUGGUCGAGCUCCACAAGGUGGCCGAACAGGCCAUGAAGGGCCUCAUAGUUCGGCUGUGGCCUAAAGAAGCCAUGCCUAGGAGCUACUUCGGUCUAGUGUGGCGGCUGGUGGACGCCUGUCCAUGGGUUGAAGUUAUCAAGCACUCCGUCUGCAUUGAAGGUGCCCGUCGGGCCCUUGCCCGUGCUAAAGUGCACUGGGGCAAGAUGGACGCUGAGAAGCUUGUGACGGACGCGCCACCGCCGGGCAAGGAGUAUCGCACGCCCGAGAUGUACUAUAAGGGUGUCCUGAAGGGUGCCCGCCUUAUAGCGGGUGAAUGCUCCAAAGAUGUAAUUUUUUAGUAGACUCGCAUUUUGUUAUCCUGUGCGCUGAAAACUUGUUCAUAUGCACUAAGCAACGCUUGUUAAUUUAAAAUAUUACCUUUUGUGUGGCCGUUUAUCAAAUUUGAGAGAUGGCAAGUCGUUGGCUUCAGCCCCCAUGCCACGAGUGCUGGGGUGUUCGGGAUAAACUUGAGCUCUCUUUUUCCCAUUUUUGGGUCCUUCGAGGGAGGCGCUCAACACAACGAAUGAGGCAACCGGACUUAUAAUGCUUGAACACUCCCACUUAGCCAUAGAAUUCUAUAAUUUUAAAUUUCGGCGAAGCCCCUAGUGUUCGGAAGACCGAAUUCGGGGCGCUAUCCACGCCUGGGCCAGACAAAGCCGGCUCCUCGCUCUAAGCGGCAUAAGUCUUUAGGGACUCGAAAAAACCUCUCAAAUGGCGACCGGCUCUCGCCCUAUCAUGACGGUCAGUUUUAGCUUUCUCCACUGAGGUGCUCAACCCAGCUCAACCGGGGCACAAUCGCAGUGGUUCUCCCAGCACUACCUUAGCCGAUAUAACGGAACAUAAGGUACCAAAACAUGGGAGCCGGGCAAACCCAACUAUUGACCCAAGACAUGAUUCAGAGCCGAUGCAUAUAAUGCUAUAAGUUUGGGGUGCCGCACUUGUGAAAGUGUUCGGACUUAUCACACCAUAUUUUGGGGAACUUAAGCCCCUGGUGUAUUUGGCCGUACCAAAGCGUACGGGUGCAACAUGUCAUAAGUGAACAUGUAUAGAUAAAAAAAGGAAUGCAAUAAUAGGCAAAAAGCGAUGCAUCGUUUAUUCAAAAAAUACUGCAAUGAAAGCAGAACGAUACAAAUAGUGCGAUAAGCAAGGGAUGGGACUAUUUAACAUGUCCCCCUCCAGGGGUAGGCUGCGGGAUGGUAUGCAAAACAGGUAUAAUGCUCAUAAUAGAGACCACCUGGAUACUCGACGUAGCUUUUCUGCUUCCCUGGCUGUUGCAUCGUGAGUUCGGCAAGUCUACUGCCGGACAGGGCUUCUGGAAAACGGAGUCCUGUGAAUAAGGGAAAAAAAGAAUGACACAAUUGGGAGCCCCUGGUGCGGUUGAGCCGCUCUCCGGGCAUGCCAUGGUCGUGCCCCUACCCCUAUGCCCAUGGUAUCCCCAGAGCGUAGUUAUGUACGCGUAGUACUGGUCUUGCGAUUUCGCGAGGGCUGGGGUUGGGGCCGCGUUGCUACACGUGCUCGGAACGUGCCAGGUGGUCUUGUUGUAGGUUACUCCGGGCGCGCUUGACGGUGUCCGGCCGCUUAACAGCCAGAGUCGAGAAUUGCCUUAAGAGGCUGCUUUGUACUUCCGCCGCGAGAGCCGCUGUAUGCUCCUCCGUUCGGAGAGAGCGUUCGGUGUUUCCGUUGACCGUAAUGACUCCUCAAGGGCCUGGCAUCUUGAGCUUGAGGUAUGCGUAGUGCGGCGCAUUGAACUUUGCAAAUGUGGUUCGUCCGAGCAGUCCAUGAUAGCCGCUGCGGAACGGGACUAUGUCGAAGAUUAACUCUUCACUUUGGAAGUUAUCCGGGGAUCCGAAGACCACUUCAAGUGUGACUGAGCCUGUACAGUUGGCCUCUACACCUGGUAUGACACCUUUGAAGGUCGUCUUUGUGGAUUUAAUCCUUGAGGGGUCUAUGCCCAUCUUGCGCACUGUAUCCUGAUAAAACAGGUUCAGGUUGUUGCCGCCGUCCAUCAGGACUCUAGUGAGGUGAAAUCCGUCGACGAUUGGGUCUAGAACCAAUGCGGCAAAUCCGCCAUGGCGGAUGCUAGUGGGGUGGUCCCUUCGAUCAAAAGUGAUCGGGCAGGAGGACCACGGAUUGAACUUUGGGGCGACUGGCUCCAUCUCAUAUACGUCCCUGAGUGCACGCUUCCGCUCCCAUUUGGGUAUGUGGGUUGCGUAUAUCAUGUUCACCGUCCACACUUGUGGGGGGAAACCCUUCUGUCCUCUAUUGUUCGGCGGCCGAGUCUCUUCCUCGUCAUCGCUAUGUAGCCCCUUGUCAUUGUUUUCGGCAAUUAACUUGCCUGCCUGCUUGAACACCCAACAAUCCCUGUUGGUGUGAUUGGCUGGCUUUUCGGGGGUGCCGUGUAUCUGGCACGAGCGAUCGAGUAUUCGGUCCAAAUUGGACGGGCCCGAAGUAUUUCUUUUGAAUGGAUUUUUCCGUUGACCGGGUUUAGAGCCUCUGAAUCCGGCAUUGACUGCCGUAUCCUCAGUAGUGUCGCCAUUAAUGCGGCGCUUGUGCUUGUUGCAACGCGACCUGCCGUUGGUGUCCUUGGUAUCCGAAUUACCAGGGCUCUUGGUCAGGUUGUUACGGCGAUCUAGCCAGCUGUCCUCUCCCGCACAGAAGCGGGUCAUGAGUGAUGUGAGGGUUGCCAUGGAUUUCGGCUUUUCCUGUCCUAGGUGCCGGGCAAGCCACUCAUCGCGGAUGUUAUGUUUGAAGGCUGCAAGGGCCUCUGCAUCUGGACAGUCGACGAUUUGAUUUUUCUUGGUUAAGAACCGUGUCCAGAAUUGUCUGGCCGAUUCAUCUGGCUGCUGGAUUAUGUGGCUUAGGUCAUCGGCGUCUAGUGGUCGCACAUAUGUGCCCUAGAAGUUAUCAAGGAAUGCGGCUUCCAGGUCUUCCCAACACCCAAUUGAUUCUGCUGGCAAGCUGUUGAGCCAAUGCCGAGCUGGUCCUUUAAGCUUGAGUGGGAGGUAUUUGAUGGCGUGUAGAUCAUCACCGCGGGCCAUGUGGAUAUGAAGGAGAUAGUCCUCGAUCCAAACCGCAGGAUCUGUUGUGCCAUUGUAUGAUUAAAUGUUUACGGGUUUGAAAACCUCGGGGAUUUGAUGAUCCAUUACUUCGUCUGUGAAGCAUAGUGGGUGUGCGGCGCCUCUGUAUUGGUCUAUAUCACGACGCGGCUCAAACGAGCUUUGUCCACUGUGUUCGGCCCGGCCGGAAUUGCUAUAUCCGCGUGACGGUUGUCAUCACGUAUCGUGGGGCGCCCAUGCGAUCCGUAGAUCGAUCUUGUUUGUCUUGCCUUUUCCUCCAAUAUGUCUCCCAAGUCUGGCGCAUUCCCCCGUGGCUUUGUUCUUUUCGAGCGACGCCGGGGUGCGGCCUUAGUGGAGGGCCUAAAGGCCUCUCUGUCAUGGCCACGAGGUGGCCGGUCGGCCGCAUUGUGCGCUGGUGAUAUAGGUUUGGGUGCUUCCUCCUCUAAUUGGGGUAGCAGCCUGCAUUUUGGGUAGCUCUUGGAGGGGCGUUCGAGUUCAUACUCUUCAGCCGCAGGGACUUCAGUCCAUCUGUCGGCUAGCAAGUCUUGGUCAGCUCUAAGCUGUUGCUGCUUUUUCUUGAGGCUGUUUGCCGUGGCCAUAAGCCUGCGUUUGAAACGCUCUUGUUCGACGGGAUCCUCGGGCACGACAAAUUUGUCGUCGUCGAGGCUUGCCUCGUCUUCGGAGGGAGGCAUAUGAUUAUCGUCCUCUACCUCUCUGUCUGCCGCUCUCUCAUGAGGGUUGGCUUCUCCAUCCUCCUGCGCUGAAUCCUGCUGGAGGGGGUUGUCUUCGGCACUGUCCGGGGUGUUAUUAUCUCCCGUGCCGGAAUCUCCAUUCUUGCUGUGGCAGGAUUUAGAGCGGCGCCGUUGAUGCUGGCUGAGGGAAUCCUGGACUAGGGGGUGUCCGGAUAGCCGAACUAUCAUCAUUGGCCGGACUCCAAGACUAUGAAGAUACAAGAUUGAAGACUUCGUCCCGUGUCCGGAUGGGACUUUCCUUGGCGUGGAAGGCAAGCUUGGCAAUAUGGAUAUGUAGAUCUCCUACCAGUGUAACCGACUCUGUGUAACCCUGGCCCUCUCCGGUGUCUAUAUAAACCGGAGGGUUUUAGUCCAUAGGACGAACAACAAUCAUACCAUAGGCUAGCUUCUAGGGUCUAGCCUCCUUGAUCUCGUGGUAGAUCUACUCUUGUACUACCCAUAUCAUCAAUAUCAAUCAAGCAGGAGUAGGGUUUUACCUCCAUCGAGAGGGCCCGAACCUGGGUAAAACAUCGUGUCCCUUGUCUCCUGUUACCAUCCACCUAGACACACAGUUCGGGACCCCCUACCCGAGAUCCGCCGGUUUUGACACCGACAUUGGUGCUUUCAUUGGGAGUUCCUCUGUGCCGUCGCAAUCAGGAAGCAUGCCUCGCCCCGUCUUUAAAGACGGCACCAUUGCCAAAGGAGCUUCGGCCAUCAGCCAAACUAUCCGGCUAGGCGGUUUUCUUAUGACCGCCUAUUCGGCCGCCUCGCCGACGAUGACCUCUCGGGUCAUCAAAAGCGAUCUCCACAUCAACUCGGAAUUUGCCGAGAAGCUAGAUCUGAUGGAGCUCUCCUCCUUAAACGAGCUCUUGGAUCGCAUCGCCGCCCUGGGAGUCGCUACAGACUACGAUCAGAUUGGGCUUAAAACCGAUCUGAGAGAGAUCAACUCUCCUCAGGCUUCCCACCAUGUUGCUGUGGUGGAGGAACAGCACAUCGACUCUUCUCCUACAUUAAGGACAAGCUAUGUCUGAAUUCCCAACCCCUCCAUGCAGGAUUCCCACGGAGGGACGAACGCCAACCAAGCACUGAACCUAAAGUCAGGCAGCGGGCCAGAUUUGUCGGACAAUAUCCAACAACCCAAGCUUCCAAGUUCAGAAACUUUUCGGCCCUUGAGUCUUAGAUUGGACGGGGUUCCGAAUUUAAUUCCACCCGCCCACCCGAACACAAGCGAUCUAUCUCGAAUCCGGCAAGAGCCCGCUGAAACAGUUCAUCAUUACUGGGCCAGAUUCCUCCUGGUUAUGGACAGGAUAAAGGACUGCCGUGAGGAAAGCGCAAUCUCAAUCUUCUGCAACAAUUGCACGGACAAGGGAAUCAUGAACACCAUAAGUCAUCGUGAAAUUACACGCUUCGCUGACUUGGCGUCCAUAGUACGAAAGUACUGUGCGAUGGAGAGUACCUGGAAAACUGAAACCAAAUUUUGGGACAAUCCGGCUCCGAACACAACCCUACUCCGAAAUAAAAGGGUGCAUCAUACUCAAGCACCUAGGUUAAAAAGCAAAAAGCAAAAAACCCCUAAAGGGCACGGAACCGUACUGGAGGGAUGGCUCAGCGGACCCUGCAAAAUCCAUAGUACAGAGGGCGCCACUCCAACGCAUAGCCUUCGAGCAUGUUGGAUACUACGGCUGGUGGCCAAAAGUGGCGAGGAGCUUCUAGCCCCAGAGAACCAGCCCAUCAAUACUAGUACGGUAUUAACAGUCUUCGAGACUUCCGCAUCAAAUAAUAUGCGGAAACGAACACUCCGCAGCCUCGCGAAGUCUACCAAGUAGCAACAAUAAAUCCAUGGAGCGACACGGCUAUUACCUUUAACGCCAGUGACGAACCUAAAUUCCGAACAGCCCGAGCACCAGUUGCAUUGGUCCUCAGUCCAAUAGUGGACGGCUUUCGCCUUACUAAGGUACUCAUGGAUGGUGGCAGCGGAUUAAACCUCAUCUAUGAGGAAACCCUUCGAAAAAUGGAAAUAGACUGGAGCCGCAUUGAGCGAAGCAGCACAACCUUUAGAGGAAUAAUCCCAAGUCGGGAAGCACGCUGCACAGGAAAAAUUACACUGGAUGUGGUGUUCGGCUCGCCGGACAAUUACAGGUCCGAGGAGGUCACGUUCCAAGUGGCCCCAUUUAGCAGCGGAUAUCACGCUUUAUUAGGGCGAGAGGCAUUCACAAUUUUUCAAGCUAUACCCCAUUACGGGUACAUGAAGCUCAAAAUGCCCAGGCCCAACGAAAUUAUCACUCUUGCUAGUGAUCCGGACAUAGCACUCUGCGCCGAAAACAAGACAGCCGCACUAGCCCUAGAGGCACUAUCCGAAGCCCUAGCGGCCGAGGAACUCAUUGCACCGCGCUCCAUGGUGAACAUGGACGAAGUGAUACUCGAUAAGAGAUCCAAGUCCACCUCUUUUAUGCCAGCGGACGAAAUAUUCAAAUUCCAAGUCCAUCCAACGGACCCUACAAAGACGGCCUCCAUUGGGGCACAAUUAAACCCUGACGUAGACGCUGCACUACGAGAAUUCCUUUGAGAAAAUUGGGACAUCUUUGCCUGGCACCCUUCAGACAUGCCAGGAAUCCCACGCCGGUUGGCAGAACACAACCUAAAUAUCCUAAAAUGAUUUAAGCCAGUCAAACAGGCUCUUCGGCGAUUUUCCGAACCCAAAAGACAGGCAAUGGGAGAGGAGCUAGCCAAACUAUUAGAAGCCGGAUUCAUCAGAGACAUAAAACAUCCGGACUGGCUAGCAAACCUGGUAAUGGUACCAAAGAAGGACAAAUCCUGGCGCCUGUGUGUCGAUUUCAAGGACUUUAACAAGGCUUGUCCAAAGGAUCCUUUCCCCCUUCCCCGCAUCGACCAAAUUAUCGACACUACAGCAGGGCACGAUUCAUUGUGCUUCCUCGACGCAUACUCCGGCUACCAUCAAAUCAAGAUGGCGGAGCCAGACCAAGCCGCAACGGCAUUCAUUACUCCAUACGGACCAUUCUGCUUCAACAGAACGCCCUUCGGGCUCAAAAACGCCGGCGCAACAUAUCAGCGCAUGAUUCAGACAUGUCUGGCAACCCAGAUCGGCAAAACAGUGGAGGCAUACGUAGACAAUGUGGUCAUCAAGUCUAAACGCGUCGAAACUCUAGUAGAAGAUUUGAGGCUAACAUUUGACAACCUCCGAGCAUAUGACAUUAAGCUCAACCCGGAAAAAUGCGUUUUCGGUGUACCAGCCGGAAAGCUCUUGGGCUUCAUUGUAUCCGGUAGAGGAAUUGAAGCAAACCCAGCCAAGAUCCAAGCUCUGUCACAAUUGGAUAUCCCAAAAGACCUCAAGAAAAUACAAAAGUUGACCGGAUGCGUGGCGGCUCUAAGCCGCUUCAUCUCCCGCUUGGGAGAAAAGGCAUUACCCAUUUAUCGCCUCCUCCGGCGCACCGAACACUUCGAGUGGACGGAUGCCGCCACUGCCGGACUCGAAGAAAUCAAAGGCAUAUUGGCAACAAAUCCGGUCCUGGCCGUGCCCAACCUGGGCGAACCAAUGUUAUUAUAUAUCGCGGCAACACAUCAAGGUGUAAGCGCGGUGCUCGUCGUCGAACGAGAAACGGACGGACACAAGUUCCCCCUUCAAAAAGCCUGUUUACUACGUGUCCACUGUUCUAACUCCAUGCAAGUCCCAGUAUCCACAUUAUCAAAAGAUAGCGUACGUGGUGUUCAUGGCAUCCCGGAAGCUGCGACACUACUUUCAAGAGUGUUCGAUAACAGUAGCCUCCGAAGUACCUCUUAACGACAUUAUAAACAACCGCGACGCGAGUGGCAGGAUUGCAAAAUGGGCCAUUGAGCUCCUACCAUUCGACAUAACCUACAAACCACGGCGAGCUAUCAAGUCGCAAGUUUUGGCCGACUUCAUCGCUGAAUGGACCGAAGCCGAACUCCCCAAAGAGUACGGCGCAUACUCCAAUUGGAUCAUGCACUUUGACGGCUCCAAAAUGUUGGCCGGCCUGGGGGCUGGUGUCGUCCUGACGUCCCCAACCGGAGACACAGUCCAAUACGUACUCCAGAUAAUGUACACGGACUCCAACAAUGCAGCCGAAUACGAGGCCCUUCUACAUGGUCUCCGGAUGGCAAUCUCCAUUGGCAUUCAAUGCCUAGAGGUCCGCGGGGAUUCAAACCUCGCAAUAUCCCAAAUAAAUGGAGACUUUGAUGCCAAGGAUCCGAAAAUGGCAGCCUACCAUAACGCCGUCUUAAAAAUGUCUGCUCGGUUCGAAGGACUUGAAUUCCACCAUAUAGCCCGAGAUAAUAACCAGGCGGCCGACGUGUUGGCACGCAUCGGCGCAAAGCACGACGCCGUCCCUCCCAACAUCUUCUUGGAGUGGCUUUUCAAGCCAUCCGUAUUAUAGGAAGGGGAGUCCGGAAACAACAACCCGGAACCAACCACACCGCCCAACACCGAACACUCUGACACAAUCGGUGGCUCUGCCAAUGAAUAACACCUUCAGCCCACGAAAUAAUGGCAGUCAUUGCCCCGUGGACGGAACCAUUCCUAGCCUACUUAAUCAGGCAGGAACUUCCCGAAGACCAAAACGAGGCCCGCUGCAUAGUGCGGCAAUCUAAAGCCUACAAGGUCCAUGAGGGAGACCUUUAUAAGAAAAGCACAACCGGAGUCCUUCAAAGGUGCAUCUCCGAAGAGGAAGGGCGAAAUCUUCUGGGUGAAAUUCACAUUGGACUCGGCGGGCACCACACCGCAGCCCGGGCCCUUGUAGGCAAGGCCUUUCGUACAGGAUUUUAUUGGCCGACGGCCCGGGCAGAUGCUCAGGACUUAGUCCAAUGAUGCGUCGGUUGCCAGCUCUUUGCUAAUCAAAGCCACAUGCCACCCACCGCCCUCAAAACUAUACCCAUCACCUGGCCGUUCGCGGUCUGGGGGCUUGACAUGGUUGGACCCCUUAAAGGGGGCACCCACAAGCAAAAAUACCUAUUGGUCAUGGUGGACAAAUUCACCAAAUGGAUAGAGGCCAAGCCAGUUAAAACGGCCGAAUCCGGACCUGUGAUAGACUUCAUAUCUGGGGUAGUACACCGUUACAGCGUCCCCCAUAGCAUCAUCACUGAUAACGGCACAAACUUCACGGCCGACAAGGUCAAACUCUAGUGCAAAAACAUGGGCAUCAAGCUCGACUACGCUUCAGUCUAUCACCCUCAAACUAACGGUCAAGUCGACGAGCAAAUGGUCUAAUCAUGAGCGGCAUCAAACCCAGACUAGUGCGGUCCCUUAAGGAAUCUAACAUGCACUGGGUAGAGGAGCUCGACUCUGUACUCUGGGGGCUGCGGACCACGCCGAACCGCACUACCGGAUUCACACCAUUUUUUAUGGUAUACGGCGCAGAGGCAGUUCUGCCCUGCGACAUAAUUCACGACUCACCUCGCGUGCGCAUGUACGAGGAAAGAGAAGCCGAGUUGGAUUGGCAGGACAGUUUGGACGCCUUAGAAGAGGAGCGUGACGUGGCAAAAGCUCGUUCCGCAUUCUAUCAAUAGCAGGCUCGAAGAUAUCAAAGCAGAGAAGUACGGGCCAAAACUUAUAAUGUUGGCGAACUAGUUCUACGCCUGCCGGACAAGAAAAAGGACAAGCUCAAGCCCAAAUGGGAAGGUCCCUUCAUCAUCGACCAGGUCCUGACCGGCGGAGCGUACCAUCUGCAAAUUGCAUCGGAUAACCGACUCGAGCCAAAUCCAUGGAACGCAGCCCGUCUCCGUAGAUUCUACGCCUAGCGCCGGACUCCGAGUUCGUCUCCCUCUCCCGUCUAUAUUUUAUACUUUAACUGUCUUUUAUUUCCCCCCUCUCUUUUUCCCCCUUUUUUCCUUCUCUCACGGGUCUUCGGUGGCUCGUCUGCACAUUGUUCGCACACACUUGACGUGCUAUUCACACUCAUUAUACCUGGGGCUUCUUUAACAGAAGCUUAUUUGUACGGGCUUUAUACCCAACACAUGUGUCACACUUCCGCAUGUACCUUUUAUUCACCAUUAUAUGCAUCAAUAUGACUUGAGUUUUGGCCAAGCUGGGUUGCCUGGCUCCUGUGCUUACCCCUACGUUCCCGAUUGUUCGGCUAGGAGGUAAAGGGAGCACCUCUGCGAUUGUUACUGCCGGGUCAGCCGAAUGUGUACCUCAGACUGGGUGAAGCCGAAAGCUAGCAUUCUUAAGGGAAUAUUCGGUCGGUGAAUUGAAAGAUGAUUUCUUACCUAUUUAUUUAUCUGCCCCCAGAUGCUUUCCUGCUUUUUUCGCAGUCCGGACAUGCACUUUAGGGCAUGCCUCCCAGGGAAAGGAACCCCUAACGGAACUAUUCUCCCUGGAAGAUGUUUCUUACUAACCAUGUAAUAUAACAUAACUAGUUGGGCACUUGUUUGAUAAAGCACUAAUGACCCCUAUGCCUGGUCUCCAUGCAUGCCCCGGUUUCUUACAUAACCGUGAGGGUAUUCGGACACACUCCGGACUGUCGGCUCCCGAGGUUGAAGCGAAAAGGUCCGCAAAGACAAAUGAUCUACAAUCCGGCUAGAAGGCAUUUUCAAUGUCAUUUUAAAAUUACACAGUCAAGCUGACUGACAGUAUUCCUCUUCGAUACCAUCUAAUAAACUGUCUAGUUUACAGUCCCGCUGUGAAUACUUUGCGGCCAACUCUACUUGGUCGUACACUAAGCUCACAGGGAUCUCCUUCCCAUCGGGCCCCACAGGUCCGACCUCGGCCAUGUGGUUCGGGUCAGCCUUCGCGUACCGUGUCUUCACCAUGGCCCAGGCCUCCCUGGCGCCUUGACGGCAGGCCGAUAUCUUCCACAACCGGAAGCGCCGCCGUGCUCCCUGAAGCUUCUCCACAAGCUCUCCAAGACCUUCGGGUAGGGACAUGGACGGCCACAAGGCCUGGGCGACUCCACUCAUCACCUGCCGAACUCGUUCGUGCAGUUGCAGCAGCUCGGGAAGUUGGUCACUCGUUGAACCAGACAUUUCCUCCGCAGGACGACCUGUGAGCACGCCUGCAGACAUAUUUCUGUCAAAUCGACUUCCUCACCGAACUCUUCUUUUCAAAAAGUUCGCUCAAGCACUUACUAUAAAUGCCGCGGCGAAGCCGCCGAUUCUCCUUCACGGAGUCCGAUAGCUGGGCCCGCACAUCUUUUAGCUCCUCGCCCAGAUGGGUGUUGGCAUCUUGGAGCUUAUUCUUCUCUUGCCGCACCCUCGUAAGCACCUUCUCGCCGGCCUUCAGCUGGCGCAGUAGCUGUUGCUUGUCCGGAUCUAGUCCGGCGCCAUCUGCAAUAUUAUUGUCAGACUUAUACACAUGCCGCACUUCACAAACUACUUAUCUUUCGAAGUAUGUAUUACCAGAGGGGGUCUCUGUGGCUCCCCCAGCGGCGGCUAGUGCGGCCUCAAGUUGGGCCUUGCACUCUUGAAGCUCCUGGGACAGGUGGGUAUUCUUCUCCGUAAGAUCCUGCAUAACAAAUGAUCCUUAAAUCAGUUAUUCUAACUAUUUUAAGUCUCGGGGGCUACUGGCAUAUAUAACUGUCAAAAUUCCUCACCCGUAUGUCUUUCACAUACUGCUCCGUGGCUCUGGUUAGACCAUCUCGAGCGGCACAGAGGUGCGCAUCUCCCGCAUUAAAGGCAUUCAAUGCCUCCGGGGAGAAGCACGCGUCACGAAGAGCUGUCCGGCGGCGCCUAUGAUUCAUGGCGCUCUCCACCUCAGAUCUGGUGGCGGACAGCCUGUCGUCAUCCUCCGUUGGAGGAGCAUCCGGCGCAUGCCUUGUGUUUGCCUCCCCCUCCGGACCAGGCGUUGGAGCCUGGCUGGCGGAGGCUCGAAACCUCUCCGGACACAGUCCGGCGAGCGCCCUUUCUCCUGGAAAAAUCAUGGGCGUUAAUAUUCCUCCCAGGAAUCUUUCUUUUAAAUAUGGUGGUGCGUCAUACCGUUGCAGCGACGUUUCAAUUCGCGCCGCACUCCUUUUCCGCCUGCUGGGCCGAGCUACCCCUUGUUGGUCAGCCUCCGCGGGUUCGGCUUCCCGCCUCGAAGGCACCUCCUGCGGAACACCGUUGGUAUACGGUGGUUAGAGAUAAGCACGUAUGAGUAAUGGUAUCAGGACUUCGGUCACAGUUACCUGGGAAGCCAGAGAUAUUCCGGGGUAGUCGGCCGUAAUGGCGACCAAAGCAUUGUCAAUGCUAAGUUGGUGGAACACCCCAUCGAUCAGCUCCACCUUUAUGUCCGGAUCCUCUUCGGAGGCCGGAUCAAGGGAUCGUUCUGGAUCCUCGGGUUGUGGAGUCAGGCUGUGUAUGUCCUCUACGCCCCGGCGCAGUUCCUACGUCGAAAUCACAAAGUGAGACACUUAACUUUGGGAAUAUGGAUCAGAUAGAUAAACGUCCGCUUACCGAGCUCCGAGGGUUAUUCAUGGAAAAUCUAUUCAAUGGACUAGUACGGAGGAAGUCCUCCUUCUCCCCUUUGUACAGGCCGGACAGUAUCUUCACCAGAUCGGUGACCGAUCCCGGCCCCUUGCGGCCAUGGCGGGUGGCAUCAUCCUCCCCGUUGAAAUCCCACAUGGGGUGGCCCCUAUACUGGAGCGGCUUCACCCCCCGCAUAAUGCAUGUGGCCAUGACCCCAAUCAUGGUCAAUCCGGAAUGAGGCAAUAACCUUAUUCGGCCCAUCAGAUAUUGGACGUCCCUAUCAUUCUCCCGUUGAGGGCUCCGCGGGCGCCAACUCAGGCGUUUCUUCAAAGGAGCGUUGCUGAACUCCGGGAGGCCGAUCCGUACUGGGUCCGGUAGCGGGGCGUCCUCCAUAUAAAACCAUUCCGAAGGCCAGUCUUCGGACGCCUUCUUCGGGGUUCCGGAUAGAUAUCCGGUCCCGGCGAUGCGCCAUAUUUCGGCUCCACCCACUUGAUAUAUCGACUCCUCAUGAGAACGGGGUACAAGGCAGAAUAAUCUCUUCCACAACGCAAAAUGGGCCUCGAUGCCCAAGAACAACUUGCAAAGGGCCACGAAGCCCGCGAUAUGUAGGAUAGAGGCAGGCGUAAGAUGAUGAAGCUGGAGCCCGUAGAACUCCAGGAGCCCCCGAAGAAACGGAUGUAUGGGAAAUCCGAGUCCUCUUAUUAAAUAAGGGACGAAGCAUACCCGCUCUCCUUUGGAGGGAUUGGGGACGCUCUCCACCUGCUUCCCGCCCUUGUAGGUGGCAAGUCCGGCUCGAACCGGAACCAUGAAGGCUGGGGGAAGAAAUCCCUCGGUUUGGAGCGUCACCAGCUCACUAUGCGGGACCGAGCAUCUCCCCCAAUCUCCUGGCUGAGGGCUGGGAGCGCGAGAGGAGGAGCUGCGUCGACUGUCCAUGAUGGAAUGGAUUUUUGGUCAGAGGCGCUUCGAUGAAUGCUCGCGAAAGGAGGAUGGUGUGAUUCGAAUCUAGAUCCUCGCCUCUCUUUAAUAGGCAGCUCAUUCGCGCAGCUAGGGGGUGGAAUGUAAAAAUACCCUGGCUUUUCGCAUUCGUACAACACGUGGAAGAUGGCCAUUAUUGGACGUGGAAGCCAAGAAGCGCAACAUUUAUAAGAAGCCGGACACUAUUCGGCCAGCACAUGGAAUUUGAAGGAGAACCCGCCUUGCAAUAUUGAAGACAAUAUGCGCGCCGAACUCGUCGUCAUUGAAGCCUGGUUCGGGGGCUACUGAGGGAGUCCUGUACUAGGGGGUGUCCGGAUAGCCGAACUAUCAUCAUUGGCCGGACUCCAAGACUAUGAAGAUACAAGAUUGAAGACUUCGUCCCGUGUCCGGAUGGGACUUUCUUUGGCGUGGAAGGCAAGCUUGGCAAUACGGAUAUGUAGAUCUCCUACCAUUGUAACCGACUCUGUGUAACCCUAGCCCUCUCCGGUGUCCAUAUAAACCGGAGGGUUUUAGUCCAUAGGACGAACAACAAUCAUACCAUAGGCUAGCUUCUAGGGUUUAGCCUCCUUGAUCUCGUGGUAGAUCUACUCUUGUACUACCCAUAUCAUCAAUAUCAAUCAAGCAGGAGUAGGGUUUUACCUCCAUUGAGAGGGCCCGAACCUGGGUAAAAACAUCGUGUCCCUUGUCUCCUGUUACCAUCCGCCUAGACGCACAGUUCGGGACCCCCUACACGAGAUCCGCCGGUUUUGACACCGACACCGGCGCUUAGGCUGUUUCUUGGAGGGUCGUCCUCCGUUGUUCCAUCGCCAUUUCCAUCCUUUGGGAUGUCCACCAUGUAUAUGUCAUAUGAUGAGGUGGCCUUCCAGUGCCCUGUAGGCGCUGGUUCUUGGUCGUCUCCUGCAUCGUCGUCCAUACCGUCGAUGUCUUCGGAGUCGAAGUCUAGCAUGUCGGUUAAGUUAUCGAUAGUGGCUACGAAGUGGGUGGUGGGUGGGCUUUGAAUUUCUUCGUCAUCCGCAUCCCAACCGUCCUGACCAUAAUCCUGCCAGGGCUCUCCUGAUAAAGAGAGACACUUUAGCGAAUUCAGGAUGUCGCAAAAGGGCGAGUGCUGAAAGAUGUCCGUAGCGGUGAACUCCAUGAUCGGUGCCCAAUCGGAUUCGAUUGGCAGGGGCGCGGAAGGUUCGGAGUCCGGAGAGGAGUCCGGCACCUUGGAGUCACGGGCUUUGUGAAGGACAGGGUUGGUAUUCGGCUCUAUCGCCGUAGAGGUAGCAGCCCCCAAGGUGGUGUCUAACCACCCGUCCUCGAUCGGCGCAGUCGGCUCCGAGCUAAGGGUCGGAGCGGACACUUGUGCGGCCUCCAAGGCAUUGUCCGGCGGCAAAGCUAGAUCAUGCCCAUCAUGACAGUGCGGCGUGCUUGGCUGUGGCUUGAACCCGUCGAAGAUCAAGUCUCCGCGGACGUCAGCCAUAUAGUUCAAACUUCCAAAUCUGACCUGAUGGCCAGGGGCGUAGCUUUCGAUCUGCUCCAGAUGGCCAAGUGAAUUGGCCCGUAGUGCAAAGCCGCCGAAUACGAAGAUCUGUCCGGGGAGAAAAGUCUCACCCUGGACCGCGUCGUUGUUGAUGAUCGAAGGAGCCAUCGAGCCUAUAGGUGACGACACAGAGGAACUCUCAAUGAAAGCACCAAUGUCGGUGUCAAACUCGGCGGAUCUCGGGUAGGGGGUCCCAAACUGUGCGUCUAGGCGGAUGGUAACAGGAGACAAGGGACACGAUGUUUUUACCCAGGUUCGGGCCCUCUCGGUGGAGGUAAAACCCUACUCCUGCUUGAUUAAUAUUGAUGAUAUGGGUAGUACAAGAGUAGAUCUACCACGAGAUUAGAGAGGCUAAACCCUAGAAGCUAGCCUAUGGUCUGAUUGUUGUUCGUCCUACGGACUAAAACCCUCCAGUUUAUAUAGACACCGAAGAGGGCUAGGGUUACACAGAGUCGGUUACAAUGGUAGGAGAUCUACAUAUCCGUAUCGCCAAGCUUGCCUUCCACGCCAAGGAAAGUCCCAUCCGGACACGGGACGGGGUCUUCAAUCUUGUAUCUUCAUAGUCUUGGAGUCUGGCCAAAGAUGAUAGUUCGGCUAUCCAGACACCCCCUAGUCCAGGACUCCCUCAGGGUCGCUCACCAACCGUGUGUUACUGAUGCUUUGAUUUCACGCAAAAAACAAGGGUGGCCCCUAGCCAUCAAUUGCCCUAUCCCUGCUCGCGUGCCAUCCCCUCCCCUACCCCUGCCUAUGAUACAGGGGGAUGUUUUGCUCCCUGAUUCGUCCACACCUUCCCCCCCCCAUGCUGACGCGCUCCCUGCUCCCCGAAACCCCGUGACCCCGGUCGCCCCGGCCCGCGGCAAAACAUCAGUGGAGGGGGCUCUGGCGGGCUUUGAUUGUGCCGAGGUUGACACUCACGCAGCGUAGCCCCCCCCUCACCCACCAACUUGAAUGCUCUCCGCGCAUCCCAUUUCCUUCAAGCCCUUCUCUCCUCGCCCGCUCCACCCACUCACCCAAACCCUAAAACGCCGCCUCCUCUCCUCUCUCUGGACGGCUGUUUCCGCUGCCUCUCCGUCCGCCACUUCGUCCGGGACUGCCGUGACCCUGUCCGGUGCCGGCGUUGCCGCGUCUUCGGGGACCGCGCUUCCUCACUCCACUGCGCCAUGGACCCUCCGCGUCGUGCCUCUGCCUCCCCCUCCGCACCGCUUCCCUUCCCAACCGUCCACCCACGCCUCCGCCCCGCCUCCCCCUCGUCGUCAGUCCACCCCAUAUCCCCAUGCUCACAUCGCCACGUUGUCUCUCCCCAUCCCUCGGCGCCUCGAGGUCGGCGGUCCCAGCAGCCCUGCUACUGUCGCGAUGUCUUCGGUGCCUGACGCCCCUCCCUCCCCUCCUUGCCAUCGAGACGUGUCCAUCUCUUGGGUGGUCCGCUCUCCACCGCCGUCCCCCCUGCCGAUCCCUCUGCCUUUCGCCACAAGGAGACUGUUGUGGGUGUGGGGAAGCACCUGCGCAGACCGCUCCUCCUCCGGACCUGCUCGCUUUCAGGGAGCGGACGCCGUCCUCGAGCGGGACGCUCGCGUCGUCUUGCUUUCCCUCUUUCGUGUCCGCUGGCAACUCCAUCCCUUCGGCUAUCGCAGACUCCGGACGCUCCGACGUGGUCGAGGUGUUCAUGCCGGAGGGGGAUUACGCUGCGGCUCAGCGUCUCGCCGUGGUGAGCAUUGAGCCGCCGAAUGCCUUCAUCAACCCCACCGUGGCUGUGCAGGCUGCGGUCCUCGAUCGCAUCGGGCACCUAUUGCCUAAGGUGGUGCCCUCGUCGGUGGGGGCGAUGUACCUUCGCUUUGCUUUGGUGGCAGAUCACGAUGAGGCCUUGGCCAUGCAGCCGUUCCCUCAUGAAGGCACGCGUAUUGACCUCUUUGCGGAGGAAGAGUUCAACCGCAUCGAGCCUCGCCUGGAUGCCUGUGUUGUCCUCGCGGACACGGGGUUCCCGGCCGAGUUCAUUAACCCUCGCGGCGUCGAUGCAAUGUUCUCCAGCUUCGGCAAGGUCCUCGAGAUCGACCCGUUGGUCCUAGCGGGGAGCGAGCUUGCUAUCGUGCGCGUUGUUGUCCUCCUCAAGAACCCCCGCGAUGUGCCAUGCGACGUGUGGCCACUGGGGCGGACGCUGGGGUGCCUGCAUUGUCUCUGUGCGCCCCAUCCGGGCAUGGGCUCGCGCCGAGUCCUACGCUGACGGCGGGGCCUACCUCCCGCUCCCACAACCAGGCGACCUUGCAUGGGCAGCGGAUGGGGCGGGGGCCUGCCCCGUGCCCUCUUUUGCCACGGUGGCAGUGGGGGGGGGGUGUUGGCCAGCUUGACUCAGUUCUACGUGUCCUCGGUGCGCCGCCCCUCCCUGCCUGGCUGCGACGUGGCGCCCUCCGCCUUGUGGGGAUGGAGGCCCUGGCCCGGGCCCCCGCGUCACUGAUGCCUCGUCCGGAUUCGCCACACUCAUUGGGGCUCUCUUUUGAUGGUGGCGCGAGGUCGAGCGUCACCAUUGUUGACGUCACUGAGAAGCUUGAGGGGAAAGAAGAGAAAAAUGGCCGUGGGGGCAGCGCUGGUGAUGCGGUGGGGCCCCACCGUAGCGCUCGGGUGGCCACCUCUGAGGUGGCGGAGUACGUCAGCAUGGAGGCCAAGGCUAUGAAGCUGCAUGCUCUCUGCGACGCGCUCACAGGGUGCUCGCCCCGUCUCAAGUCCAAAGUCCUGAAGGACAAGAUGCUUGAUGGUGUGUUGCAGCCCAUGACCGCCAAGGCGGCUGCGGAACUGCGCUCUGCCACGUCCAUUCGUGCUGCUCCAGUGGUCUCCCCUUCGAUGAUUAGUGCGAAUGCCGCUCUCAUGCCCUGCCACACUGGUUGCGCCUAUCUGUCUCUUUCUACGUUCAUGAUCGCUAUGCUAGGCGUUAUCUUGAGCGCGGGCAUGAACCGUGUCCCAGUGCGUCGAUGUGUAAUGGAUAACCCCUCCUUUGUUAAUCUCUCUAUCCUCUCUUGGAAUGUUCAGGGGUUAGGGGACCCUGACAAAUGUGGCGUCAUGCGUGAUAUGAUUACCACCACAGAUCCCCACUUUGCGUAUCUUCAGGAAACUAAACUGGCGUCUCUCCCGGUUGACAAAACUCGCUCUUUCCUCUCGGGGCGUCUUAACUCUUUCGUUGCCAAAGACGCCGAUGGCAGUCAGGGGGGGGGGGGAUUGUCACGGCCCCUAUUCUCCCUGGUUUCCUCCCCGGCCUCCACUUUCACGCUCACCGCUCUAUUCUCCUCUACGACCACCUCGCUCUCCAUCACGAUCACCAAUGUCUAUGCGCUGUCUGAUCAGUCUCUCACUAAUGCGUUUGUCGCGGACAUGAUGGCGGUGCCUCCGGGUAUCCACGAGCCGUGGAUCACGCUUGGCGAUUUCAAUCUGAUCCGGGCGCCCCAGGAGAAGAAUAAUGAUCGCUUUGGUGCUCCCAGGGCGGCGAUCUUCAACUCUCAGAUCAACUCCCUUGCCCUACACGAGCUCGCCCUGACCGAUCAUCGUUUUACUUGGACUAAUCGGAGAGACCCCUCGACUCUUGCUAGGCUUGACCAGGCCUUUUUUUAUGCGAAUUGGGAAUCGUCCUUCCUUGACUCCACUCUCUCCUCACGCCCCAUCCUACCUCCGACCACGUCCCCCUUGUGGUCACUGCCUCCACCCGCAUCCCAAAACCUGCCCGUUUCUUCUUCGAGACCUCCUGGCUCCUCGACCCUCUCUUCCUCGCGACUACCUUGCCCUCCGGGACUGGCGCGACGGGCGAGCGCGACGCGGCUGUGAGCCUCGCGGCUCACAAGAAAUGGUUCCGAUCGGCAGCCAACAUUUGGAAGUGGAGCCACAGAUAUAUUCCUACUUUUGAUAAUGACUGCAAGUUUGUGGUUUACCUCCUUGAUUUUUGGGAAGAAUUCCAUUGCCCCUCUAUAGAUGAAGGGCGGUUGCGCUGCGACGCCCGCGAGUGCAUGUCCGCGUCCAUCAAGCGACAGAGCAUGCACUGGAAGCAACGCGGGAAGUGCCAGGCGGUGCGGGAGGGCGACGAGAACACUGGGUUCUUUCACGCCAGCGCCUCCUAGCACCGUCGUGGGAACUGGAUCCACGCGCUGGACGUUGACGGGGUCAAGGUGCUGGAUCACCCCGGGAAGGCGGUCGCGCUCCAUGCCUUCUAUGCUGACCUCUUGGGGCGUCGCAGCCGUCCCGUCUGGCGCUUCGACCUUGCCGAGUUGUAUCGUGGCAUGCAGGGCGUGGACAGGCGCGCUUGGGUUGGGCAGUUCUCCCAGGAGGAGAUCAAGGUUGUGGCGGCACUUCUUGACCGAACUAGCGCGCCGGGCCCCGACGGGCUUGGCCCUGCCUUCUACCAGGCGGCUUGGGGUGCAGUCUCGGUGACUUACAGCUCCUCUUCGACGCCUUCUUCGACGUUGCACUGGAUCUGAAGCCAAUCAACCGGGGUACAUCGCUCUGCUUCCCAAAGGGGUGCCCACCCCGACUCCUGGCUCGUCCCGCCCCGUCUCCCUCCAGAAUGGCGACGUCAAGAUCCUGUGCCGUGGCCUCACUACCCAGCCGCAGAAGCAAAUUGGUGGGGUGAUCGAUAUUGAUCAGUCUGGCUUCAUCGCGGGGCGUAGCAUCUCCGAGAACUUCGUCUACGCAACUGAGGUGGUGCAAUGUUGCCGUGCCAGGAAGGCCCCCGCCCUCGUCCUCAAGCUGGACUUUGCGAAGGCGUUCGACUCGGUGAACUGGGAAUGCCUCCAUUGAGUCAUGGAGGUGCGUGGCUUCCCUGAUAGGUGGUGUGAGUGGAUGGAUGCUAUCCUCCAUUCAUCACGCUCCGUCGUGCUGCUCAAUGGUGUUCUUGGGGCGUUGUUCCCCGUCCGCUGUGGGCUGCGCCAGGGGGAUCCGCUAUCCCCUACCUCUUCCUCCUGGUGGCCAACGUCUUGCAGCGGAUGAUCCAGCGCAAUCCCAUGCUUGGACACCCGCUAGUGGAUGGAGAGCCACUGAUCGUGCUUCAGUACGCCAACGACACGCUCGUCGUCCUGUGCGCGUCCGAGGGCGCUGCGGGGCAGCUCCGCGCCAUCCUUGAUGUUUUUCCGGCUGCCACCGGGUUGGGCAUCAACUACAGCAAGAGCAUGCUGGUGCCCAUCCAUGUGCCACCGGAGGGGGUCAACGGAGCCGCGGCUGACCUCUCGUGCUAUGUUCAAGGGUUUCCGCAGCCAUACCUGGGGCUGCCGCUGUCUUGGGAGAAGCAGACGACGAUGGACUUCGCUCCGAUGAUCGCCAAGGUGGACAAAUACCUUGCUGGCUAGCGGGCGCGCCUUCUUUCACCCGCGGAGCGUCUGGUACUCAUCAACGCCGUGCUUGACUCCCUCCCUAUGUAUGCUAUGGAGGCGGUCGCCCUCCCUCAUGUCGUCGUCAGGGACAUGGAUGCACUCUGCCGCGCGUUCCUGUGGGACACGGCCGACCGCGCAUCGGGGGCCCAGUGCCUGGUUGCUUGGACCCAGGUCUGCCGCGCGAAGAGAGAGGGAGGUGUGGGGGUGCGGGACCUUGCUACACAUACUUGCUUGGUUCUCAAGAUGCUUCACCGCCUUCACUCGUUGGAGUCACGGUGGGCAGUGUGGGUUUUGGGCUAAACUGAAUGGGCGGUCCCUCCUCUCCCUCGGCAGCAGCCGCCGUGCCGGGGAGCACGGGUGGUCGCUUCGGUCCCUGCUGCCCCUCUAUCGUGACUUGUCCCGUGCUAGUGUGAAGGACAGCCAGAGGACGUCCUUCUAGCACGACUGGUGGCUGUCGUGCGGCCUGCUGCGCGCUGCCUUCCCGACCCUGUACUCGCACUCCGCCAGUGCCGAGGCCACCGUCUGGCAGGUGCGGGAAUCCAGCCUGGAUGGUGUCUUGGUCCCUCGUCUUACCAGCGCCGACACGAGGGGGCGAUUGGCUCUCCUCGCCAUUCUCCAGGACGUGCCCGCGGUGCCAGGCGUGGACGUGAAGGGGUUUUGCCUCUCUGCGGGCAUCCGCACACAGGUGGGCUGAUCUCAGGGCGCGUCUACGCCCUGCUGACCUUGGGCGGGAGGCUCUCGCCCCAUGCACCCCUGGUGUGGGGAAAACAAGUGCCGUCGAGGGUGAAGUUCUUCGCCUGGCUGCUCGUCCGAUGCUGGAUCAACACAUGUGAUGUCAUUCUUCGCAAAACCAUCUUCGAUCUCGCUGGCGCAGGGUGCCCUGUUUGUUCUAUGGAGCUGGUGGACACCGACCAUCUGAUGUUUCGCUGCCCGUUCGCACGCGAGUUCUGGCGGGCCGUGGGGGUGGGCGAACCCGCGACCAACGCUUUGAUGGGCUCACUUCAAAACUUUGAUGUGCGUUCGGCGGUUGGCGAGGCCUCCCCCGGCGCUUUUGUCCUCCUAUGUUGCUGGCAGCUCUGGAAACACCGGAAUGGGGUGGUUUUCCGGGGGGACACGCCCUCUCUCAAUCGACUCCUAAGCUGCUGCCAUGAUGAUGCGGUCCUGUGGCGAGAGCGUCUCUGCUCCGGCGAUCGCCAACAUGUUGAUGUUUGGGUGCACGCGCUGUGACGCUGAUCUAGUCUAGCCCCGCUUCUCCCCCCUGUGUGCAUUGUGGUCAUGUAAAAACUGCUGUAAAUACUGACGCCCCCCUCUCUCUUGGGGUUCUUGUCAAUAAAAUUCAGGUGGGGGGGGGUCGGUACCCUAUGUCCAUAGACCACACUGAUAGACAGUCCAUAGACCACACACACCUACAACAAUAGUCUCGUGGCCCAAUCCGUAGGUUCUACUCCUUGACAUGUGGACCCCAUUCAUAUCAGUCAACUUUGUUCUUACCUGAAUAUGAGUCACCUUUGUUCUAACCCAAAGGUCGCUAUUAGCUUAUAAGUGGCAUUCAUGUAGAUAAAAUUCCUACAGUUUGAUUUAGAUGCAGAGCAAAUCGUGGCAAUUUGUAUAUCAAUCAGGAACCCUAUGUCCAUAAAGUUUAGUAUAGUGAAACCUUUGUGUCAUUUCAAGUCAGAUGUACAACUAUUUUUUUGAAAGACCCAGUUCCCUGGCUUUUCAUUGAUUUAGCAGAAGAGAGAGUUACAAAAAAGUUACUAAUCAAAGGAGAUUAGCAACGGAAGUAUGAGCGAGUUUUUGAAGGAGAGCGCACAUGCUCUCCCCCCUUUCCUCUAAGUAAAAACUAAGCUUGAUAUAUCAUGUGAUAUCCCCAAAGGGGGGCUCUAUUCCUUUUGCUCCGGCUAGUCUCCAUUACUCCAAAUCUCUUCUGCACGCGCUGAUCACCUCAUUGACGCAGGCUGUCUUCUUCUUGAAGGUGCAGCUAUUGCCUUCCUGCCAGAUAUGCCAUGCCACUAGAGAUAUCAUUGUUUUGGUGGCACGCCUGUUGGAUGUUGGUGAUGCAGAGACAAUUGCAGUGACGGCCUCCGUUGUGGUCUUGCAUCCAUUCCAGUUGGCUGGGUUGAGCGCGCCGCAAUCCCUCCAUGUGUUGGGGAACAAGGUAAUUUCAAAAAAAUUCCUACGAUCACGCAAGAUCUAUCUAUGUGAUGCAUAGCAACGAGAGGGGAGAGUGUGUCCACGUACCCUCGUAGACCGAAAGCAGAAGCGUUAUGACAACGCGGUUGAUGUAGUCGUACGUAUUCAUGAUCCGACCGAUCUUAGCACCGAAAGUACGACACCUCCGCGAUCAGCACACGUUCAGCUCGGGGACGUCCCUCAUACUCUUGAUCCAGUUGAGGCGGAGUGAGAGUUUCGUCAGCACGACGGCGUGGUGAUGGUGAUGAUGAAGUUACCAGCGCAGGGCUUCGCCUAAGCACUACGACAAUAUGACCGAGGUGUGUAACUGUGGAGGGGGGCACCGCACACGGCUAAACAAUGUCAACUUGUGUGUCCUAGGGUGCCCCCUGCCCCCUUAUAUAAAGGAGCAAGGGGGGAGGCUGGCCGGCCCUUGGGCGCGCCAAGGAGGGGAGGAGUCCUCCUCCUAGUAGGAGUAGGAAUCCCCCAUUCCUAGUCCAACUAGGAAGGGGAAGGGAAAGAGGGGCUAUGCCCCCGUACCCUAGUCCAAUUCGGACUCCCGUUGGGGGGGCGCCACCUCCUGGGCUGCUGCCCUCUGAUACGUCUCCAAUGUAUCUACUUUUCCAAACACUUUUGCCCUUGUUUUGGACUCUAACUUGCAUGAUUUGAAUGAAACUAACCCGGACUAACGCUAUUUUCAGCAUAACUGCCAUGAUGUUUUUUUAUGUGUAGAAAAGAAAAGUUCUCGAAAUGUUCUGGAAAUCCAUGGAGGCACUUUUUGGAAUUAAUAAGAAUUUCUGGGCGAAAGAAAUAAACCAGGGGCCCACACCCUAUCCACGAGAUAGGGGGCGCGCCCCCUAUAGGGCGCGCCCCCUAUCUCGUGGGCCCCAUGGACCUCCACCGACCUCAACUCCAACUCCAUAUAUUCACGUUUGGGGAGAAAAAAAUCAGAGAGAAAGUUUCAUCGCGUUUUACGACACGGAGCCGCCGCCAAGCCCUAAUCUCUCUCGGGAGGGCUGAUCUGGAGUCCGUUCGGGGCUUCAGAGAGGGGGAUUCGUCACCGUCGUCAUCAUCAACCAUCCUCCAUCACCAAUUUCAUGAUGCUCACCACCGUGCGUGAGUAAUUCCAUCGUAGGCUUGCUGGACGGUGAUGGGUUGGAUGAGAUUUAUCAUGUAAUCAAGUUAUUUUUGUUAGGGUUUGAUCCCUAGUAUCCACUAUGUUCUGAGAUUGAUGUUGCUAUGACUUUGCCAUGCUUAAUGCUUGUCACUAGGGCCCGAGUGCCAUGAUUUCAGAUCUGAACCCAUUAUGUUUUCAUGAAUAUAUGUGUGUUCUUGAUCCUAUCUUGCAAUUCUAUAGUCACCUAUUAUGUGUUAUGAUCCGACAACCCCGAAGUGACAAUAAUCGCGAUACUUCUCGGUGAUGACCGUAGUUUGAGGAGUUCAUGUAUUCACUAUGUGCUAAUGCUUUGUUCCGGUUCUCUAUUAAAAGGAGGCCUUAAUAUCCCUUAGUUUUCGCUAGGACCCCACUGCCACGGGAGGGUAGGACAAAAGAUGUCAUGCAAGUUCUUUUCCAUAAGCACAUAUGACUAUUUACGGAAUACAUGCCUACAUUACAUUGAUGAAUUGGAGCUAGUUCUGUGUCACCCUAUGUUAUAGCUAUUACAUGAGGAAUCGCAUCCGGCAUAAUUAUCCAUCACUAAUCCAUUGCCUAUGAGCUUUUCAAAUAUUGUUCUUCGCUUAUUUACUUUUCCGUUGCUACUGUUACAACUACUACAAAAAACCCCAAAACAAUUAUCUUUACUUUUGCUACCGUUACCAUUAUUACCAUACCACUUUUGCUACUAAAUACUUUGCUGCAGAUACUAAGUUAUCCAAGUGUGGUUGAAUUGACAACUCAACUGCUAAUACUCAAGAAUAUUCUUUGGCUCCCCUUGUGUCGAAUCAAUAAAUUUGGGUUGAAUACUUUACCCUCGAAAGCUGUUGCGAUCCCCUACACUUGUGGGUUAUCAAGACUAAUUUCUGGCGCCGUUGCCGGGGAACAUAGCUCUAUUCUCUGAGUCACUUGGGAUUUAUAUCUGUUGAUCACUAUGAAGAACUUGAAAGACGACAGAACUAAAAUCUAUCCCUCAACUAUGAGGGGAGGUAAGGAACUACCAUCUAGCUCUGCACUAGAUUCUCCUUCCAUUAUUAGUAAGCUUGCGACACCUAAACCUGCUACUGCUAUGAAUUCUGAUAUGUCGCAUGUUAUUGAUGAUGCCACUUCUGCUAUGCAUGAUGAAACUACUUCUGUGCGUGAUACUACUUUGCCAUUAGGUGAAUUUCUUGAUGAACAACUUGCUAGAGUUAGGGGGAAUGAUACUACUGAAGAUCCUAUUAUUGAUGAUAGUGAUGAUGAAGGUUCUCCCAAUGAUUAUGUAUUGCCUGUUGUUCCUGAGGGCUAUGUUAUGAAUGAAGUAGCUGCUAGAGCUAUCUUUGCUUGCAAUGAUAGAUAUGAUCUUAAGAAAUUAUUAGCUAAAUGGAAGCAACAAUCUCUUAAUGCUAGAAUGAAACCUGACCCUACUUUUGCUACUUCACCUAUCUGUGUUACUGAUAAUGAUUAUGAAUUCUUUGUCGAUCCAGAAAUUAUUACAUUAGUUGAAUCUGAUCCUUUCUAUGGCCUUGAAUCUGAAACUGUUGUGGCACAUCUUACCAAGUUGAAUGAUAUAGCCACCCUGUUUACUAAUGAUGAGAAGUCUCGCUUUUUUUAUAUCCUUAAGAUAUUUCCAUUCUCAUUAAAGGGUGAUGCUAAGACUUGGUAUAAUUCUCUUGCUCCUGGUUGUGUGCGUAGUCCCCAGGAUAUGAUUUAUUACUUCUCUGCUAAAUAUUUCCUUGCUCAUAAGAAACAAGCUGCCUUGUGGGAAAUAUAUAAUUUUGUGCAAAUCAAAGAAGAGAGUCUCCCACAAUCUUGGGGGAGGCUUCUCCGGUUACUUAAGGCUUUGCCCGAUCAUCCUCUUAAGAAAAAUGAAAUACUUGAUAUCUUUUAUAAUGGACUAACCGAUGCUUCCAAGGACUACUUGGAUAGUUGUGUUGGUUGUGUUUUCAGGGAAAGAACAGUCGACGAAGCUGAAAUACUAUUGAAUAAUAUGUUAACUAAUGAAAAUAAUUGGACUCUUCCUGAGACAAUUCCUGAGGCAAUUCCUGAACCAAUUGAGCCAACUCCUGAGCCUAUUCCUAAACCCACUCCGAAGAAGAGAGGUGUUUUAUUUCUCAGUCCUGAAGAUAUGCAAGAGGCAAAGAAAUCAAUGAAAGAAAAAUGUAUUAAAUCUUAAGAUGUUAAGAAUUUACCUCCUAUUGAAGAAAUACAUGGUCUUAAUAUACCACCUGUUGAAGAACCACAUUGUCUUGAUAACCCGACACAGGUAGUAAAGGUAAAUUCUCUCUAUAGAUAUGAUAAAGUUGAAAUUCCCUCUACUAAAUUUCAUAGCCCUUGCUUAGAUGAAUUUUAUGACUUUAUGGCUAGACAAGAAGGUUUUAAUGCUUAUGUUGGAAUAAUGCUUCCGAGAUAGGACGCGUAGGCGAUAAUAUAGCUAGAGUUAAAGAUGAACUCAAACUCGUUAGCAAAUAUGCUUCUGCUACCCAAGCUGAGCAAGUACUUAAAGCUCAAAAUGAUUUGCUUGAUGAAUUAAAUAAUAAAGAUGACUUUGCUGUUAGAGUGGCUUCUAGAACUGGUAGAAUGACUCAGGAACCUUUGUAUCCUGAAGGCCACCCUAAGAGAAUCGAGCAAGAUUCUCAGAGAAAUAAUUUAGAGGCACCUAGUUCUUCUAAAAAGAAGAAAUAGAAAAACGAUAGAACUUUGCAUGCUUCUAGUGAACCUACUGUAGACACACGUGAGAAUCCUAAUGAUAUUUCUAUCUCUGAUGCUGAAACUCAAUCAGGUUAUGAACAUGAACCUAGUGAUAACGUUAAUGAUAAUGUUCAUGUUGAUGCUCAACCUAGCAAACACAACGAUGUAGAAAGUGAACCUGUUGUUGAUCUUGAUAACCCACAAUCAAAGAAUCAAUGUUAUGAUAAGAGAGAUUUUGUUGCUAGGAAGCAUGGUAGAGAAAGAGAACCAUGGGUUCAGAAACCCAUGUCCUUCCCUCCUAAACCAUCCAAGACAAAGGAUGAUGAGGAUUUUGAGCGCUUUGCUGAAAUGAUUAGACCUAUUUUUUUACGUAUGCGCUUAACUGAUAUGCUGAAAGUAAAUCCUUAUGCUAAGUAUAUGAAGGAUAUCAUCACAAAUAAAAGAAAGAUACCGGAAGCUAAAAUUUCCACCAUGCUUGCUAAUUACACUUUUAAGGGUGGAAUACCAAAGAAACUUGGAGAUCCGGGUGUACCAACUAUACCAUGCUCUAUUAAAAGAAAUUAUGUUAGAACUGCUUUAUGUGAUCUUGGAGCCGGUGUUAGUGUUAUGCAUCUCUCUUUAUAUCAUAGACUUGAAUUGAAUAAGUUGACACCUACUGAAAUAUCUUUGCAAAUGGCUGAUAAAUCAACUGCUAUACCUGUCGGUAUUUGUGAGGAUGUGCCUGUUGUGGUUGCAAAUGUCACUAUGUUAACGGACUUUGUUAUUCUUGAUAUUCCUGAGGACGAUAGUAUGUCUAUUAUUCUUGGUAGACCUUUUCUUAAUACUGUAGGGGCUGUUAUUGAUUGCAACAAAGGCAAUGUCACUUUUCAUGUUAAUGGUAAUGAGCACACGGUACACUUUCCGAGGAAACAAUCUCAAGUUCAUAGCAUCAAUUCUAUUGGAAAAGCUCCAACUAUUAUUAUUGGAGGUUUUGAAUUUCCUCUCCCUACUGUCAAGAAAAAGUAUGAUAUUCUUAUUGUUGGGGAUUUUCAUAUCCCCGUUGAGGUAACUUAGUGUUAUUCGAAAUUUCUCCGGUUCCGUGUUAUUCGGAAUGAGUUUGUUAACAAGACUUGAUCAACCUUGUUAGUGGAUUCAUUUUGAUGAUCACGAGAUGGAUGAAACUAGAAGGCACAACCUUAUGUACCCACUUUUUACUUUCUGUUAUUUAGAAUAAAUAAAGCAAAAAUAGUAUUAUCCGUCUGUUUUGUGAAUUGUCCGUGCAUUAAAAAAUAUCCCGAAAAUAAAAGUGCUCCAAAUGCCCUGCAAUUUAGUAUGAAUUUUUCUGGAAUAUUUGAGGAUUUUAGGCACUGAAAUCACUGCAGGAGGGGCAAGCACCAGGCCACGAGAGUGGAGGGCCCCCCCUAUAGGGCGCGCCCCCUAUCUCGUGGGCCCCUGGUGGCCCCCCUCCACUUAUGCCAGCACCCACACACUUCAUCUUCUACCCAAAAAAAUCCCCAUCCAGCUCAAGCACGAGUUCUAGCUCGUUUUGCUGCGAUUUUUGAUCUCCUUUCUCAAAGCUCCAUUUACAAAACUGCUUUGGGAGAUUGUUGCUUGGUAUGUGACUCCUCCAUUGGUCCAAUUAGUUUUUGUUCUAGUGCUUUAUUCAUUGCAAAUUUUCGCUGCAUAGGUGACCAUGUUCUUGAGCUUGCAUGUUAAAUUUAUGAGGUCCCAAGCAAUUCCAAUGCAUGAUAUAGGCUCUAGGAACUUGUAGGAGUAGUUGCUACCAAUCUUGUUUAGUUUUAUUCACUUUUAUUUUGAAGUUACUAAAAAUUUAGAAUUAUUUCAGAAAAAGAAUUAUGCUUAGAAGAAUGUACCAAGGUGGUUCCUCGGUGAAGAAAGGGCCCAGGAUUGCUAUACGUGAGCAAGAUGUUGAAUUACCGAGGGACGCGGAUGUACGAGCUUGUGAGUGGCCAUCCGAUAAUUUUAUGGUCAAAGCACGCUUCAAGGAGGAAUUUGACCGGUAUGUGCGCAAUGCCGAGCUGGAGGAAUUCUUACAAGAUAAGUGUCCUCAGUACUAUCAGUUGACUGAUUCCUUUGUGCGGAGGUUUAAAUAUAAUUGUGCGCGUAAUUCUCCUAGUGUCAUAUUUGAUAUUUAUGAUACAUCUUAUACCAUGGAUUUAGAGGAUUUUACAACUGCUUGCAAACUCCCGCAGUGGGGUAAUAUUAAUGAUCCUCACAAAUCUGAAUUUAGAGACUUCCUUGCUAGUAUUACCAUGGGAGAAUCUAGGGACAUAGCACAAGCUACAAUAGGGAGCAUUCAUUUUCCUGCUAUGCAUUAUUUUGCUCUCUUUAUUGGUAGAUGCAUUAACGGUAAGGAUGAAGCAUGUCACAUGUGUGUCCCUGAUCUGUGUGUCCUCAAGAGUGCUGUGUUAGGUUAUAAAGGUUAUAACUUGGGGGCAAUAGUUGCACGUAGGUUGCAGAAUAAUAGUAGAAAGGGAAAUUUAUUUGGAGGAAUUUAUGCAACCCGUGUGGCUAAUUAUCUUAAUAUAGCCCCACGAGAGGGGGAUAUGAUUUUACCUCCUGUUUAUUUGGAUAAAGAAGCUAUGUUCAAUCAUCAAUUUCUUGCGAUGAAUGAACAAUUCCUCCAUUAUCGACUAAUCUAUGACAGACGCAACGUCGUCCAUGUUACUCUUCCUGCUCCCUACCUUUUUGAUUAUCAGGCAAAAGGAAGAUAUGUUGUCACCAGGGAGGAAGCAGCUGAACACGAGAGGAGAGCGGAGGCAGCUCGCCAACACGCUGCAGCUCAGGAGGCGGUUGCCGCUGCAUCUCAGUACAACCCCAGUUUUACUUAUGGAUAUCAACCAGGCGGUCCUUGGUAUUAAACCAACUUAGGCCAAAAGCCUAAGCUUGGGGGAGUACAUAUUUCUCACCGAAUUUACAUUCAUGCUCACACACUAGUUGUCGGUGCUCAUCCUCUUUCAUUGUAUUAUCCAUGUUAGUUUAAAUUUCUUUUUCUAGUUUUCUUCUUGUGUGUUUGAUAAACUUUAAGAAAACCCAAAAAAAUUAGUUAGUUUAAAUUCUAUGCUUGUAGUAGAAAUUAAAAUGAAAACCCAAAAAGAUUUCUAGUUCUUCUUCUUACUUGUUGGGAGUUUUCCCGUGUAAAUAGUUUUAUUUUCUUUUCUUUCCUUUGGGGGUCAAGAAAACUAUAUUGAAAACGCUUAGUGGCUCUUAUAUGCAUGAUUGUUUAUUUUAUUUAGAGCCCAUAUUACUUGUCUUCUCUCUUGAGUUGAAUGCUUGCAGAUUCCAGCUUAGUCCAAUGCACAUGCACUCUUAUUAUUAUACACAUCGUUCGGUCGUGCAAGUGAAAGGCAAUAAUGAUGAUAUAUGAUGGACUUAUUGAGAUGAGAAAAGCUGGUAUGAACUCGACCUCUCUUGUUUUUGUAAAUAUGAUGAGUUCAUCGUUUCUGAUUCAGCUUAUUAUGAAGUAAACAUAUUUGCAAUGACAUUUAGAGAUUAUAGUUGCUUGUGCCAUGCUUGAUUAGCUAUGAGUUAUAAUGGUUUACCUUGCGUGCCAACAUGCUAUUAGAAUGAUUAUGAUGUGGUAUGAUGGGAUGGUAUCCUCCUUUGAAUGAAUUGAGUGACUCGACUUGGCACAUGUUCACGCAUGUAGUUGAAUCAAAUAAACAUAGCCUUCAUGAUACUUAUGUUCAUGGUAGAUUAUAUCCUACUCAUGUUUGUAUUCGGUGUGAAUUAAUUUUAAUGCAUGUUUACGACUGUUGUCGCUCUCUCAGUUGGUCGCUUCCCAGUCUUUUGCUAGCCUUCACCUGUACUAAGCAGGAAUACUGCUUGUGCAUCCAAACUCCUUAAACCCCAAAGUUGUUCCAUAUGAGUCCACUAUACCUUCUAUAUGCGGUAUUUACCUACCGUUCCAAGUAAUUUUGUAUGUGCCAAACUCCAAACCUUCAAAUGAAAUUCUAUUUUAUAUGCUCGAGCAGCUCAUGUUACAACUAGGGCUGCCUAUAUCUUCCAUGCUAGGUGGGUUAUUCUCAAGAGGAGUGGACUCCGCUCCUCAUUCAUGAGAAAGGGCCGAUAAUCAGGAUGCCCAGUCCCAUGAUCCAAAACAAUCAAAGCAAAUCAAAAUAAUUAAACAAAACUCCCCCAGGGCUGUUGUUAGUUGGAGGCACUCGUUGUUUCGAGCAAGCCAUGGAUUCAUGCUUGUUGGUGGUUGGGGAGUAUAAACCUUUACCAUUCUGUUUGGGAACUGCCUAUAAUGCAUGUAGUAUGGAAGAUACAACCAUCUCAUAGUUGUUGCGUUGACAACAAAAGUAUGCCGCUCAAAAUGUUAUUCAAUCUCUAUUUUAAAACCGAGCUCUGGCACCUCUACAAAUCCCUGCUUCCCUCUGCGAAGGGCUUAUCUAUUUACUUUUAUGUUGAGUCAUCACCCUUCUUAUUAAAAAGCACCCGCUGGAGAGCACACUGUCAUUUGCAUUCAUUACUAUUGGUUUAUAUUGGGUAUGACUUGACUGGAUCUCUUUUACCAUGAAUUACAAUGCUUAGUCAGUCCUUGAUCUUUAAAGGUGCUUUGCAUUUAUGUUUUGCGGUCUCAGAAAGGGCUAGCGAGAUACCAUUUUGUUAUAUCAUGUUAUGAUUAUUUUGAGAAAGUGUUGUCAUCCGAGUUUUAUUAUUAUGGCUCGCUAGCUGAUUAUGCUAUUGAUAUGAGUAAUUGUGAGAGCUAAGUGUUAUUGUGAGUAUGGUUAGUUCAUAAUAUUUGCUGAAACCUGAAUGAUAGCUUUUCAUGUUUACAACAACAAGAGCAAAUAGAGUUUGUAAAUUUUUUCUUUAUCACUUUCAGUUUAUCAACUGAAUUGCUUGAGGACAAGGAAAGGUUUAAGCUUGGGGAAGUUGAUACGUCUCCAACGUAUCUACUUUUCCAAACACUUUUGCCCUUGUUUUGGACUCUAACUUGCAUGAUUUGAAUGAAACUAACCCGGACUGACACUGUUUUCAGCAGAACUGCCAUGAUGUUGCUUUAUGUGUAGAAAAUAAAAGUUCUCGGAAUGUCUUGGAAAUCCACGGAGGCACUUUUUGGAAUUAAUAAGAAUUUUUGGGCGAAAGAAAUACACCAGGGGGCCCACACCCUGUCCACGAGAUAGGCCCCCCCAUAGGGCGCGCCCCCUAUCUUGUGGGCCCCCUGGACCUCCACCGACCUCAACUCCAACUCCAUAUAUUCACGUUCGGGGAGAAAAAAAUCAUAGAGAAAGUUUCAUCGCGUUUUAUGACACGGAGCCGCCACCAAGCCCUAAGCUCUCGAAGGAGGGCUGAUCUGGAGUCCAUUCGGGGCUCCGGAGAGGGGGAUUCGUCACCGUCGUCAUCAUCAACCAUCCUCCAUCACCAAUUUCAUGAUGCUCACUGUCGUGCGUGAGUAAUUCCAUCGUAGGCUUGCUGGACGGUGAUGGGUUGGAUGAGAUUUAUCAUGUAAUCAAGUUAGUUUUGUUACGGUUUGAUCCCUAGUAUCCACUAUGUUCUGAGAUUGAUGUUGCUAUGACUUUGCUAUGCUUAAUGCUUGUCACUAGGGCCCGAGUGCCAUGAUUUCAGAUCUGAACCCAUUAUGUUUUCAUGAAUAUAUGUGUGUUCUUGAUCCUAUCUUGCAAGUCUAUAGUCACCUAUUACGUGUUAUGAUCUGACAACCCCGAAGUGACAAUAAUCGGGAUACUUCUCGGUGAUGACCGUAGUUUGAGGAGCUCAUGUAUUCAUUAUGUGCUAAUGCUUUGUUCCGGUUCUCUAUUAGAAGGAGGCCUUAAUAUCCCUUAGUUUUCGCUUGGACCCCGCUGCCACGGGAGGGUAGGACAAAAGAUGUCAUGCAAGUUCUUUUCCAUAAGCACGUAUGACUAUUUACGGAAUACAUGCCUACAUUACAUUGAUGAAUUGGAGCUAGUUCUGUGUCACCCUAUGUUAUAGCUAUUACAUGAGGAAUCGCAUCCCGCAUAAUUAUCCAUCACUGAUCCAUUGCCUAUGAGCUUUUCAUAUAUUGUUCUUCGCUUAUUUACUUUUCCGUUGUUACUGUUACAACUACUACAAAAAACCCCAAAACAAUUAUCUUUACUUUUGCUACCGUUACCAUGAUUACCAUACCACUUUUGCUACUAAAUACUUUGCUGCAGAUACUAAGUUAUCCAGGUGUGGUUAAAUUGACAACUCAACUGUUAAUACUCAAGAAUAUUCUUUGGCUCCCCUUGUGUCGAAACAAUAAAUUUCGGUUGAAUACAUUACCCUCGAAAGCUGUUGCGAUCCCCUACACUUGUGGGUUAUCACCCUCUCUCCCCUAAGGCCCACUAAGGCCCAAUACUUCCCCGGGGGGUUCCGGUAACCCCUUCGGCACUCCGGUUUUCUCCGAAAUCACCCGGAACAUUUUCGGUGUCCGAAUAUAGCCGUCCAAUAUAUAAAUCUUUAUGUCUCGACCAUUUUGGGACUCCAAACUACGUUCGGUACAUCAAAACACAUAAACUCAUAAUACCAAUCGUCAUCGAACCUUAAGCAUGCGGGCCCUAUGGGUUCGAGAACUAUGUAGACAUGACCGAGACACGUCUCCGGUCAAUAACCAAUAGCGGAACCUGGAUUCUCAUAUUGGUUCCUACAUAUUCUAUGAAGAUCUUUAUCGGUCAAACCGCAUAACAACAUACGUUGUUCCCUUUGUCAUCGGUAUAUUACUUGCCCGAGAUUCGAUCGUCGGUAUCUCAAUACCUAUUUCAAUCUCGUUACCGGCAAGUCUAUUUACUCGUUCCAUAAGACUCCAUCCCACAACUAACUCAUUAGUCACAAUGCUUGCAAGGCUUAUAGUGAUGAGUAUUACCGAUAGGGCACAGAGAUACCUCUCUGAAACACGGAGUGACAAAUCCUAAUCUCGAUCUAUGCCAACCCAACAAACACCUUCGGAGACACCUGUAGAGCACCUUUAUAAUCACCCUUUUACGUUGUGACGUUUGGUAGCACACAAAGUGUUCCUCCGUUAUUCGCGAGGUGCAUAAUCUCAUAGUCUGAGGAACUUGUAUAAGUCAUGAAGAAAGCAGUAGCAAUGAAACUAACACGAUCAUAAUGCUAAGCUAACGGAUGGGUCAUGUCCAUCACAUCAUUCUCCUAAUGAUGUGAUCCGGUUCAUCAAAUGACAACACAUGUCUAUGGUUAGGAAACAUAACCAUCUUUGAUUAACAAGCUAGUCAAGUAGAGGCAUACUAGGGACUAUAGUUUUUGUCUAUGUAUUCACACAUGUACUAAGUUUCCGGUUAAUACAAUUCUAGCAUGAAUAAUAAACAUUUAUCAUGAAUUAAGGAAAUAAAUAAUAACUUUAUUAUUGCCUCUAGGGCAUAUUUCCUUCAGUCUCCCACUUGCACUAGAGUCAAUAAUCUAGAUUACAUAGUAAUGAUUCUAACACCCAUGGAGCUUUGGUGUUGAUCAUGUUUUGCUCGUGAGAGAGGCUUAGUUAAUGGGUAUGCAACAUUCAGAUCCGUGUGUAUCUUGCAAAUCUCUAUGUCACCUUCCGACACUUGAUGAUGGAUGGAAUUGAAGCUUCUCUUGAUGUGCUUGGUUCUCUUGUCAAAUCUGGAUUCCUUUGCCAAGGCAAUUGCACCAGUAUUGUCACAAAAGAUUUUUGGACCCGAUGCACUAGGUAUGACACCUAGAUCGGAUAUGAACUCCUUCAUCGAAACUCCUUCAUUCGCUUCUUCCGGAGCAGCAAUGUACUCCGCUUCACACGUAGAUCCCGCCACGACGCUCUGCUUGGAACUGCACCAACUGACAACUCCUCCAUUCAAUAAAAAUACGUAUCCGGUUUGCGACUUAGAGUCAUCCAGAUGAGUGUCAAAGCUUGCAUCGACGUAUCCACUUACAACGAGCUCUUUUUCACCUCCAUAAACGAGAAACAUAUCCUUAGUCCUUUUCAGGUAUUUCAGGAUGUUCUUGACCGCAGUCAAGUGCUCCACUCCAGGAUUACUUUGGUACCUCCCUGCUAUGCUUAUAGCAAGACAUACAUCAGGUCUGAUACACAGCAUUGCAUACAUGAUAGAACCUAUGGCUGAAGCAUAGGGAAUGACUUUCAUUUUCUCUCUAUCUUCUGCGGUGGUUGGGCUUUGAGUCUGACUCAACUUCACACCUUGUAACACAGGCAAGAACCCUUUCUUUGGCUGAUCCAUUUUGAACUUCUUCAAAACUUUAUCAAGGUAUGUGCUUUGUGAAAGUCCAAUUAAGCGUCUUGAUCUAUCUCUAUAGAUCUUGAUGCCCAAUAUGUAAGCAGCUUCUCCAAGAUCUUUCGAAGAAAAACUCUUAUUUAGGUAUCCCUUUAUGCUAUCCAGAAAUUCUAUAUCAUUUCCAAUCAACAAUAUGUCAUCUACAUAUAAGAUCAGAAAUGCUACAUAGCUCCCACUCACUUUCUUGUAAAUACAGGCUUCUCCAAAAGUCUGUAUAAAACCAUAUGCCUUGAUCACACUAUCAAAACAUUUAUUCCAACUUCGAGAGGCUUCCACCAGUCCAUAAAUGGAUCGCUAGAGCUUGCAUACUUUGCUAGCACCCUUUGGAUCGACAAAACCUUCCAGUUGCAUCAUAUACAACUCUUCUUCUAGAAAUCCAUUCAGGAAUGCAGUUUUGACAUCCAUUUGCCAAAUUUCAUAAUCAUAAAAUGCAACAAUUGCUAACAUGAUUCGGACAGACUUCAGCAUCGCUACGGGUGAGAAAGUCUCAUCGUAGUAAACUCCUUGAACUUGUUAAAAACCUUUCGCAACAAGUCGAGCUUUGUAAACAGUAACAUUACCGUCUGCGUCGGUCUUCUUCUUAAAGAUCCAUGUAUUUUCUAUGGCUUGCCGAUCAUCGGGCAAGUCCACCAAAGUCCACACUUUGUUCUCAUACAUGGAUCCCAUCUCACAUUUCAUGGCCUCAAGCCAUUUUGUGGAAUCUGGGCUCAUCAUCGCUUCCUCAUAGUUCGUAGGUUCAUCAUGGUCUAGCAACAUGACUUCCAGAAUAGGAUUACCGUACCACUCUGGUGUGUAUCUUACUUUGGAAGACCUACGAGGUUCGGUAGUAACUUGAUCUGAAGCUUCAUGAUCAUCAUCAUUAGCUUCCUCACUAAUUGGUGUAGGAAUCACAGGAACUGAUUUCUGUGAUGAACUACUUUCCAAUAAGGGAGCAGGUACAGUUACCUCAUCAAGUUCUACUUUCCUCCCACUCACUUCUUUCGAGAUAAACUCCUUCUCUAGAAAGGAUCCAUUCUUAGCAACAAAGAUUUUGCCUUCGGAUCUGUGAUAGAAGGUGUACCCAACAGUUUCCUUUGGGUAUCCUAUGAAGAUGCACUUCUCCGAUUUGGGUUUGAGCUUAUCAGGUUGAAGCUUUUUCACAUAAGCAUCACAACCCCAAACUUUAAGAAACGACAACUUUGGUUUCUUGCCAAACCACAGUUCAUAAGGCGUCGUCUCAACGGAUUUUGAUGGUGCCCUAUUUAAAGUGAAUGCAACCGUCUCUAGAGCAUAACUCCAAAACAAUAGCGGUAAAUCAGUAAGAGACAUCAUAGAUCGCACCAUAUCUAAUAAAGUACGGUUACGAUGUUCAGACACACCAUUUCGCUGUGGUGUUCCAGGUGGCGUUAAUUGUGAAACUAUCCCAUGUUGUUUCAAAUGAAGACCAAACUCGUAACUCAAAUAUUCUCCUCCACGAUCAGAUCGUAGAAACUUUAUUUUCUUGUUACGAUGAUUUUCCACUUCACUCUGAAAUUCUUUGAACUUUUCAAAUGUUUCAGCCUUAUGCUUCAUUAAGUAGAUAUAACCAUAUCUGCUCAAAUCAUGUGUGAAGGUAAGAAAAUAACGAUACCCACCACGAGCAUCAAUACUCAUUGGACCGCAUACAUCGGUAUGUAUUAUUUCCAACAAGUCAGUAGCUCGUUCCAUUGUUCCAGAGAACGGAGUUUUAGUCAUCUUGCCCAUAAGGCACGGUUCGCAAGCACCAAGUGAUUCAUAAUCAAGUGAUUCCAAAAGUCCAUCAGUAUGGAGUUUCUUCAUGUGCUUUAUACCGAUAUGACCCAAACGGCAGUGCCAAAAAUAAGUUUUAGUAUCAUUAUUAAACUUCAAUCUUUUGGCUUCAAUAUCAUGAAUAUGUGUAUCACUAUUAUCGAGAUUCAACAAAAAUAGACCACUCAGCAGGGGUGCACGACCAUAAAUGAUAUUACUCAUAUAAAUAGAACAACCAUUAUUCUAUGAUUUAAAUGAAUAACCGUCUCGCAUCAAACAAGAUCCAGAUAUAAUGUUCAUGCUCAACGCUGGCACCAAUAACAAUUAUUCAUGUCUAAAACUAAUCCCAAAGGUAGAUGUAGAGGUAGUGUGCCAACCGCGAUCUCAUCGACUUUGGAGCUAUUUCCCACGCGCAUCGUCACCUCGUCCUUAGCAAAUCUUUGCUUAAUCCAUAGCCCCUGUUUUUAGUUGCAAAUAUGAGCAACAAAACCAAUAUCAAAUACCCAGGCGCUACUGCGAGCAUUAGUUAAGUACACAUCAAUAACAUGUAUAUCAAAUAUACCUUUCACUUUUCCAUCCUUCUUGUCCGCCAAAUACAUGGGGCAGUUCCGCUUCCAGUGACCAGUCCCUUUGCAGUAGAAGCACUCAGUUUCAGGCUUAGGUACAGACUUGGGUUUCUUCUCUUGAGCAGCAACCUUUUUGCCAUUCUCCUUGAAGUUCCCUUUCUUCUCUUUGCCCUUUUUCUUGAAACUAGUGGUCUUAUUGACCAUCAACACUUGAUGCUCCUUUUUGAUUUCUACCUCCACGACGUUUAGCAUCGCGAAGAGCUCGGGAAUAGUCUUGUCCAUCCCUUGCAUAUUAUAGUUCAUCACGAAGCCUUUAUAGCUUGGUGGUAGUGAUUGAAGAACUCUGUCAAUGACACAAUCAACUGGAAGAUCAACUCCCAGCUGAGUCAAGUGAUUAUGAUACCCAGACAUUUUGAGUAUGUGUUCACUAACAUAACUAUUCUCCUCCAUUUGGCAGCUGUAGAACUUGUUGGAGACUUCAUAUCUCUCAACUUGGGCAUUUGCUUGAAAUAUCAACUUCAACUCUUGGAACAUCUCAUAUGCUCCAUGACGUUCAAAACGUCGUUGAAGUUCCGAUUCUAAGCCGUAAAGCAUGGCACGCUGAACUACCGAGUAGUCAUCAGCUUUGCUCUGCCAGACGUUCUUAACGUCAUCAGUAGCAUCAGCAGCAGGCCUGGUACCCAGCGGUGCUUCCAGGACGUAAUUCUUCUGUGCAGCAAUGAGGAUAAUCCUCAAGUUAUGGACCCAAUCUAUGUAGUUGCUGGCAUCAUCUUUCAACUUAGCUUUCUCUAGGAACGCAUUAAAAUUCAAAGGAAUGGUAGCACGGGCCAUUGGUCUACAACAACAUAGACAUGAAAAAUACUACCGGGUACUAAGUUCAUGAUAAAUUAAAGUUCAAUUAAUCAUAUUACUUAGGAACUCCCACUUAGAUAGACAUCCCUCUAAUCAUCUAAGUGAUCACGUGAUCCAAAUCAACUAAACCAUGUCCGAUCAUCACGUGAGAUGGAGUAGUUUUCAAUGGUGAACAUCACUAUGUUGAUCAUAUCUACUAUAUGAUUCAUGCUCGACCUUUCGGUCUCAGUUUCCGGGGCCAUAUCUGCAUAUGCUAGGCUCGUCAAGUUUAACCCGAGUAUUCUACGUGUGAAAAACUAGCUUGCACCCGUUGUAUGCGAACAUAGAGCUUAUCACACCCGAUCAUCACGUGGUGUCUCGGCACGACGAACUGUAGCAACGGUGCAUACUCAGGGAGAACAUUUGUACCUUGAAUUUUAGUAAGGGGUCAUCUUAUAAUGCUACCGACGUUCUAAGAAAAAUAAGAUGCAUAAAGGAUAAACAUCACAUGUGAUCAAAAUAUGUGACAGGAUAUGGCCAUCAUCAUCUUGUGCUCAUGAUGUCCAUCACGGAAGUAUCGUCAUGAUCUCCAACGUCACCGGCGCGACACCUUGAUCUCCAUCGUAGCAUCGUUGUCGUUUCGCCACCUAUUGUUACUACGACUAUCGCUACCGCUUAGUGAUAAAGUAAAACAAUUACAUGGCGAUUGCAUUGCAUACAAUAAAGCGACAACCAUAUGGCUCCUGCCAGUUGCCGAUAACUUUGUUACAAAACAUGAUCAUCUCAUACAUCAAUUUAUAUCACAUCAUGCUUGACCAUAUCACAUCACAGCAAGCCCUGCAAAAACAAGUUAGAUGUCCACUACUUUGUUGUUGCAAGUUUUACGUGGCUGCGACGGGCUUCUAGCAAGAACCGUUCUUACCUACGCAUCAAAACCACAAUGAUUUUUCGUCAAGUGUGUUGUUUUAACCUUCAACAAGGACCGGGCAUAGCCACACUCGAUUCAACUAAAGUUGGAGAAACAAACACUCACCAGCCACCUAUGUGCAAAGCACGUUGGUAGAACCAGUCUCGCGUAAGCGUACGUGUAAUGUCGGUCUAAGCCGCUUCAUCCAACAAUACCGCCGAAUCAAAGUAUGACAUGCUGGUAAGCAGUAUGACUAUUGUCGCCCACAACUCUUUGUGUUCUACUCGUGCAUAUAACAUCUACGCAUAGACCUGGCUCUCAUACCACUGUUGGGGAACGCGGUAAUUUCAAAAAAAUUCCUACGAUCAUGCAAGAUCUAUCUAUGUGAUGCAUAGCAAUGAGAGGGGAGAGUGUGUCCACAUACCCUCAUAGACCGAAAGCGGAGGCAUUAUGACAACGCGGUUGAUGUAGUCGUACGUCUUCACGAUCCGACCGAUCUUAGCACCGAACGUACGGCACCUCCUCGAUCAGCACACGUUCAGCUCGGGGACGUCCCUCGUACUCUUGAUCCAGUUGAGGCCGAUGGAGAGUUUCGUCAGCACGACGGCGUGAUGAUGAAGUUAUCGGCGCAGGGCUUCACCUAAGCACUACGACGAUAUGACCGAGGUGCGUAACUUUGGAGGGGGGCACCGCACAUGGCUAAACAAUGUCAACUUGUGUGUCCCUAGGGUGCCCCCUACCCCCGUAUAUAAAGGAGCAAGGGGGAGGCCGAUCCGCCCUUGGGCGCGCCAAGUAGGGGAGGAGUCCUCCUCCUAGUAGGAGUAGGACUCCCCCUUUCCUAGUCCAACUAGGAGGGGGAAGGGGGAAGGAAGGAGAGGGAGACGGAGAGGAAAAGAGGGGCUGCGCCCCCCUCCCCUAGUCCAAUUCGGACUCCCCUUGGGGAGGGGGGCGCCACCUCCUGGGUUGCUGCCCUCUCUUUCCCCUAAGGCCCACUAAGGCCCAAUACUUCCUUGGGGGGUUCCGGAAACCCCUCUAGCACUCCCGUUUUCUCCAAAAUCACCCGAAACAUUUCCGGUGUCCGAAUAUAGCCGUACAAUAUAUCAAUCUUUAUGUCUCGGCCAUUUCGAGACUCCUCGUCAUGUCUGUGGUCACAUCCAGGACUCGAAACUACCUUCAGUACAUCAAAACACAUAAACUCAUAAUACCAAUCGUCAUCGAACGUUAAGCGUGCGGACCCUACGGGUUCAAGAACUAUGUAGACAUGACCGAGACACGUCUCCGGUCAAUAACCAAUAACGGAACCUGGAUGCUCAUAUUGGUUCCUACAUAUUCUACGAAGAUCUUUAUUGGUCAAACCGCAUAACAACAUACGUUGUUCCCUUUGUCAUCAGUAUGUUACUGAUACAUCUCCAACGUAUCUAUAAUUUUUGAUUGUUCCAUGCUAUUAUAUUACCCCUUUUGGAUGUUUAUGGGCUUUAUUUUACACAUUUAUAUCAUUUUUGGGACUAACCUACUAACCGGAGGCCCAGCCCGUAUUGCUGUUUUUUUGCCUAUUUCAGUAUUUCGAAGAAAAGGGAUAUCAAAUAGAGUCCAAACGGAAUGAAACCUUCGGGAGCGUGAUUUUUGGAACGAACGUGAUCCGGAGAACUUGGAGUGCAAGUCAAGAAGCUUGCAAGACGGCCAGGAGACAGGAGGGCACGCCCACCCCCUCUGGGCGCGCCCCUAUCUCCUGGGCCCCACAGGCGGCCACUGACGUACUUCUUCCUCCUAUAUAUACCUACGUACCCCGAAAACAUCCAGGGAGCCAACGGAACAGAAUUUCCACCACCGUAACCUUCUGUAUCCGCGAGAUCCCAUCUUGGAGACUUUGUUGGCGCUCCUCCGGAGGGGGAAUCGACCACGGAGGGCUUCUACAUCAACACCAUAGACCUUCUGAUGAGUUGUGAGUAGUUUACUACAGACCUUCGGGUCCAUAGUUAUUAGCUAGAUGCCUUCUUCUCUCUUUUUGGAUCUCAAUACAAUCUUCUCCCCCUCUCUUGUGGAGAUCUAUUCGAUGUAAACUCUUUUUGCGGUGUGUUUGUCGAGAUUUGAUGAAUUGUGGGUUUAUGAUCAAGUUUAUCUAUGAGAAAUAUUUGAAUCUCCUCUGAAUUCUUUUAUGUAUGAUUGAGUUAUCUUUGCAAGUCUCUUCGAAUUAUCAGUUUUUUUUAACCUACUAGAUUGCUCUUUCUUGCCAUGGGAGAAGUGCUUAGCUUUGGGUUCAAUCUUGCGGUGUCCUUUCCCAGUGAUAGCAGGGGCAGCAAGGCACGUAUUGUAUUGUUGCCAUCGAGGAUAAAAAGAUGGGGUUUAUAUUAUAUUGCUUGAGUUUAUCCCUCUACAUCAUGUCAUCUUUCUUAAUGCUUUACUCUGUUCUUUAUGAACUUAAUACUCUAGAUGCAGGCAGGAGUCGGUCGAUGUGUGGAGUAAUAGUAGUAGAUGCAUGCAGGAGUCGGUCUACUUGUUGCGGACGUGAUGCCUAUAUACAUGAUCAUGCUUAGAUAAUCUGAUAAUUAUUCGCUUUUCUAUCAAUUGCUCGAUAGUAAUUUGUUCACCCACCGUAAUACUUAUGCUAUCUUCAGAGAAGCCACUAGUGAAACCUAUGGCCCCCGGGUCUAUCUUUUAUCAUAUAAGUUUUCAAUCUACUUUUAUUUGCAUCUUUACCUUUUUUGCAUCUAUAUUAUAAAAUACCAAAAAUAUAUUUAUCUUAUCAUACUAUCUCUAUGAGAUCUCACUUUCGCAAGUGGCCGUGAAGGGAUUGACAACCCUUUAUUGCGUUGGUUGCGAGUUCUUUCUUUGUUUGUGUAGGUGUGUGGGACUUUUGAGGAUCCUCCUACUAGAUUGAUACCUUGGUUCUCAAAAACUGAGGGAAAUACUUACGCUACUAUUGUUGCAUCACCCUUUCCUCUUCAAGGAAAACCAACACAAGCUCAAUAUGUAGCAAGAAGGAUUUCUGGCGCCGUUGCCGGGGAGGUCUUCGCUCAAGUCAAGACAUACCAAGUACCCAUCACAAACUCAUCUCCCUCGCAUUACAUUAUUUGCCAUUUGCCUCUCGUUUUCCUCUCCCCCACUUCACCUUUGCCUUUUCUUCGCCUUCUUCCCGUAUGUCUGUUUGUGUUUCCACGUGCCUUCUAUUUGCUUGCACCUUUGCUUGCUAAAAAUCUAUUGAUAUGGAUCCACUUAAAGUGUUCUACUUGGAUCAUCUUCGAUCCUUAUGCGCUCGUGCUGAAACCCCAACUAGCCUAAUAUUUAGAUGAGCAUGCUCAUUUUGUGUGUCACCAUUUAUUUGAAAAAGGGAGACUCUUAUGGGAUCAAAUAAACAGAUUGCUGUGUUAUGCUUGGAAUCUUUGUGAAAUUAAUGAUUUUACUUGUUGCUCUAAGAACCCUAAAAAACACCUUCCCUACCUAUGUGAGUUUAAUGAAAAUGAAAUCUUAUUUCUUAUGCUAGGUGUGUUUAUAGUUACUAUGAUAUCAAACAAAUUGAAGAAUUUGUUGAUUUUAAGGUGCUUAUGAAGUUGCUUCUUUGAUUGAAAAGUAUGAUAUUACUCUCUACGAAUCUGAAAAUUUUGACAUACUUAAAUAUUGCUAUGAAAACUAUGCUCAUAAUGUCUAUGUCAAAGAAUUUAUUGAGAGAAUGACUGUUGCUUUGGAAGAAAAUAAUGAUAUGCAUGAAUAUAUAGAUAAUGAUUUGGAUGAUUUGAUUGAAAUAUCCCUUGAUGAACAUGAUGCUUGCUAUUCUUGUGGCCAUGAUGCCAAUAUUUAUGAAGAUCAAUUUGCUAUAGUUCCUUAUGUUAAACAUGAGAUCGUUCCUAUUGCACCCAUACUUGGUAGUUCCUACAAUGAAAAGCAUGAUUGCAAUGAUUUUACUAUAAAUUCUCUUGAUGUCAAUUGUGCUAAUAAUAUGCAAAACCCUAAGCUUGGGGAUGCUAGUUUUGCUAUGCCUAUUACUUGUUGCAAUGAUCAUGAUUGGGGUGAUUCUUCUUAUCUUGAAAAUAUAUUUAAGCCCCAUGAUGAAUAUAAGAUUGAUAAUAGUUUUUGCAAUAAUAUUGAAAGUGGGUUUGGAAGAGUGUCAACUUUAGAUCCCACAUAUUUGGAGUAUGUUCAAUCUUAUAAUAUGUUUAAUAAAAGUGGGUGUGGAGAGGUCAUGGCUUCAGUUAAUGUUAAUCCCACUAUCUUGGAAGAGUGUCAACUUUGCAUGCAUGUGAAUCGUGUUGAAAAUAUUUUAUGUGAUAGAUAUUUUGUUGAAUUUGCUUAUGAUCCUACAUGUAAUUAUUAUGAGAGAGGAAAAUAUGGUUGUAGAAAUUUUCAUGUUACUAAAUUACCUCUCUUCAUGUUGAGAUUGCUAUCAUCUCUUUGUUCUUCCUUGCAUAUGCUAGUUUUUGCUUGCCUUGAUAUUUGUUUGCUUACAAGAUGCCUAUGCAUAGGAAGUAUGUUAGACUUAGAUGUGUUUGUCACGUGUUUCAUGAUGCUCUCUUUGUGCUUCAAUUCUUGUCUUCCAUGUGAGCAUCGUUAAAAUUAUCAAUGCCUAGCUAAAAGGCUUUAAAGAAAAGCGCUAGUUGGGAGGCAACCCAAUUUUAUUUGUGUUUUUUGUUUACUAAUAAAUUUGCUUAUACCUUAUGUUUAGAUGUGUUUUUAUCUUUUAAUCAGUGUUUGUGCCAAGUAGAACCUAUAGGAUAACCUAUGAUGCUAGUUGAUUUGAUUCUGCUAAAAAACAAAAACUUUGCACGCACAAAAUUAGUUUUGUUAAAUCACAGAAACGUGCUUUUGCGUUGAUUCUUUUUGCUGCUGAUCAAUAGACAAAUUUUCCAAGACUUACUAUUUUAGUAGGAUUUUUACAGUUUUAGAAGUUUGCGUUAGUUACAGAUUGCUACAGACUGUUCUAUUUUUGACAGAUUCUGUUUUUCGAGUGUUGUUUGCUUAUUUUGAUGCAUCUAUGGCUAGUAAAAUAGUUUAUAAACCAUAGAGAAGUUGGAAUACAGUAGGUUUAACACCAAAAAAAAUAAAGAAUGAGUUCAUUACAGUACCUUAUGUGGUGGUUUUGUUUUCUUUCACUAACGGAGCUUAUAAGAUUUCCUGUUGAGUUUUGUGUUGUGAAGUUUUCAAGUUUUGGGUAAAGUUUUGAUGGACUAUGGAAUAAAGAGUGGCAAAAUCCUAAGCUUGGGGAUGCCCAUGGCGCCCCAAGAUAUUCAAGAAUAGCGAAAAGCCUAAGCUUGGGGAUGCCCCGGAAGGCAUCCCCUCUUUCGUCUUCGUUCAUUGGUAACUUUACUUGGAGCUAUAUUUUUAUUCACCACAUGAUAUGUGUUUUGCUUGGAGCGUCGUGUAUUAUAUUAGUAUUUGCUUUUUAGUUUACCACAAUCAUCCUUGCUGUACACACCUUUUGGGAGAAGCCCACUUGAUUAGAAUUUACUAGAAUACUCUAUGUGCUUCACUUAUAUCUUUUGCGCUUGAUAGUUUUUGCUCUAGUGCUUCACUUAUAUCUUUUAGAGCACGACGGUGGCUUAAUUUUGAAGAAAUUGCUAGUCUCUCAUGCUUCACUUAUAUUAUUUUUAGAGUCUUUUAGAACAACAUGGUAUUUGCUAUGGUUACAAAUUUGGUCCUAGAAUGAUGAGCAUCCAAGUUGGGUAUAAUAAAAACUACCAUAUGAAGUGAUUGGAUGCUAUGAUCAAUUUGAUGCUUGAUAAUUGUUUUGAGAUAUAAAGGUAGUAAUGUUAGGGUCAUGCUAGUGGGUAAUUAUGAAAUUGAGAAAUACUUGUGUUGAAGUUAGCAAGUCCCGUAGCAUGCACGUAUGGUAAAAGUUGUGUGACAAAUUUGUUGCAUGAGGUGCUCUUUUAAUUGCCUUCCUUAUGAGUGGAGGUCGGGAUCGCGCGAUGGUUAACUCCUACCAACCCUUCACCUAGGAGCAUGCGUAGUAGUACUUUGCUUCGAGGGCAAGUAGACUUUUGCAAUAAGUAUAUGAGUUCUUUUUGACUAAUGUGAGUCCAUGGAUAUACGCACACUCAUCCUUCCACUUUGCUAGCCUCAAUUAUACCGCGCAACUUUCGCCGGUAUCAUGCACCCAUUAUUUACCCUCCUCCAAACUGCCACCAUACCUACCUAUUAUGGCAUUUCCAUAUCCAUUCCGAGAUAUAUUGCCAUGCAACUUUCCACUGUUCCGUUUAUUAUGACACGUUGCAUCAUUGUCAUAUUGCUCUUUGCAUGAUCAUGUAGUUGACAUCGUAUUUGUGGCAAGGCCACCUUCAUAAUUUUCAUACAUGUCGCUCUUGAUUCAUUGCAUAUCUCGGUACACCGUCGGAGGCAUUCAUAUAGAGUCAUAUCUUGUUCUAGCUUUGAGUUGUAAUUCUUGAGUUGUAAAUCAAUAAAAGUGUGAUGAUCUUUAUUAUUAGAGCAUUGUCUCAGUGAGGAAAGGAUGAUGAAGACUAUGAUUCCCCCACAAGUCGGGAUGAGACUUCGGACUUUACAAAAAUAAAAAAAGAAGAAAAAAAGAAAAAAAUAAAAUGAGAGAAAAAGAGAGAAGGUACAAUGCUACUAUCUCUUUUUCCACACUUCUGCUUCAAAGAAGCACCAUGAUCUUCAUGAUAGAGAGUCUCCUAUGUUGUCACUUUCGUAUACUAAGUGGGAAUUUUUCAUUAUAGAACUUGGAUUGUAUAUUCCAAUGAUGGGCUUCCUCAAAAUGCCCUAGGUCUUCGUGAAUAAGCGAGUUGGAUGCACACCCACUUAGUUUCUUUUGUUGAGCUUUCAUAUAUUUAUAGCUCUAGUGCAUCCGUUGCAUGGCAAUCCCUACUCACUCACAUUGAUAUCUAUUGAUGGGCAUCUCCAUAGCCCAUUGAUACACCUAGUUGAUGUGAGACUAUCUUCUCCCUCUUUUUGUCCUCACAACCACCACCUUAUACCACCAUAGUUGUAACGCCCCAAGACCGAUGCUUCAGAAGACUUCCAGCUAUUCCGAGUUUUGCCAUGUGUUUCAUUUGUGUCUGCCCCUUUUAUUUUUGCAUUGCAUCAUGUCAUCAUGCCAUCAUAUCAUUAAUUUUUAAAACCUCAACUAAAUAAAUUGCAUAGAUCUUUUGAUCUAUUUAAAUCGAGGGACUCACAUGGUGACUUCUCUUUAUAACAUACCCUCCCGAUAUUUAGGGAGCUAUAAUAAAAUAUUCCAUUGUUUUGGAAUCACCUUAACACACUUGCAAAAUAUCCCAAUGCCUUUGUUAUCUCAAUUCUUGGUCUCCAACCUUGCCCAUAAUUUCUUUCAUCAUUUUCCGGAGCUUCCCCAAAAAUCACAACAUUUUUGGACCUUCCUUUCAUCAAGUCCUAGUUCAAACCCAUUUGAAUUAAAUUCAAAUGAGUUUGAAUUCUUAUUGUUCGAUCUUGGCCUUUCUAUUUUUCUUGGAACGAGCAUAUUUUUGCGAGUCCGGGAAAAAUUACCCCCGUGCGCAAAUUCUUUCGUUAACCCUCUCUUUCUUUUUUUCUUCUCUCUAAUUUGUUUUCUGCUAAAGAAAAUAAGAUUAAGGGGGAGAGAGGAGCAAGCCCAGUCGGCCUCCUGCAGCCCAGCUAGGCCCUUUGUCAGCCCACCAGGCCUCUGCCAUUUUUUCUCUCCACUGGGCCGGCCUCCCAGGCCCAGCCGGCGCCACCCUCUAACCUAGCCCGAUCCCCUCGCAUCUCCCCUCACUCCCUCGAUCAUCCACCGCCGCCAGGGAGAAGCCCCGCACAUCGAUCUCUCCCUCGUCUCGCUCCUCCCUCGAUCCCUCUCCUCCUCUGUUUCCUACCGCCGCCGCGCACACACACACACCCGCAUAGCACCCCGCAGCCAGCGCCAGGAGCUCGCCUCUCCUUCGCCAUGGCCUCACAGCCCGAUCCCCAUGGCGCCAUGGUCGCCGCCAAGCUCUGCGCGCCAAGCCCUGCCCGACCUCCUCCUACGCCGUCGCCUCGCCAUGGAGCAGCUUCGCUCGGGCCCCUUCUGCAUCGUGCCCAUGCCGCCGCGCCAAGUUCCCGCCGAUGCCGCUGCAAGUCCCGUGGCCGUCGCCCUUGCAUCGCGCCUCAAGCCCUGCCGCCGGAGCUCGCCUUCGUCCUGACUCCGGCAGGAUCAGGGCCCUGCUUGUCGCGCCUCCCGGAGGGCCACCCUGCGCGCGACCCCGUCUCCUUGGCUGCCCAGCGCCGCUGCCUCGCCAGCUCCUCCGCUGGAUCUCGCCUCUGUCAAAGACGGCAGCAGCAACAGCUGCACCUUCCCUGUUGUGGCCAUCCUCUGCUCGUCUUGUCGCACGAAGACCCGUGUACCCGGAACGCCAAGAACCUUCCAUGGAUGCGUCAAGUACCCCUGCCUCCACAACCACCAAACCAGGAACGCCAAGUUCAUCUACGAGAAACGUGUACGACUACAUCCGAGGUGGAUUUCGUCAAGUACCCCUUCGGAUGCGCCAAGUUCGACUACAUGGUCCGCCAAGUACCUCUACCGACGACCCCGGACAUCUACGGCCGUGUACCACUACCGUCGCCGAAAACCGUCAAGUGUACCUCUACCUCAUCUUCGGAAUCACUAAGAACGUCAAGUACCCCUUCGAGAUGACGAGAUCGGCAAGUUCGAAUGACCCCAAGUACCUCUUCGAAACGACCGAGUACUAUUACCAUCGGACGCUUGAACGACUACUUCCUCUACUUCCGACGACGACCGCUCCGUGAACGACUACUUCCACUACGAACACGUUCCGCCCCGAACGCACGCUUCGAAGGUAUAACGCCGAGACGACGCCCGUGACCUAAUGCAUGUGUUGAAUGAGAUGCAUCGUUUGCUCUAUGAUCGAAUCGUCCUUGCGAUGCCCCUCUUUUGCCGUGCCACCGUCCCGUGGGAACUCGGAAGUCGGGAUCACCCCACCAUCUUGCAUGACUCGCUCACGUCACGCCUCCUUUUGCACCGGUAUCUCCAUGAGCUACCGGAACCGAUAUGUUGCCGUGGCAUCAUUUUUGGAUUCGUUGCCCUGGCACCCCUUUCUUCCGCCAUGGUGACCAAAUGCUCCUUAACAUGCUCAUGUCAACAUUUUCAUAAAAUUGCAUAAAACUUGUAUAUGUCAUCCGCAUCAUGAUAACAACAUUUAAAAUGUUUAAACUUGUUGUUGCAUUAAAUUACUAAAUGCAUAUGGGGAUUCUCCGGAAUUGUUGUUUGUUGCUUCCGGCCUCAUUUAACCUUGACUAGAUAGGUAGUUUUCAUUUGCUUCACCCUCUUGCCAUGCUUAACAACAUUUAAUAUUGUUGGGUACAUAAACGGGAUCAAACUAAAUAACUUAUUGUGGUGUUUCGUCAAUAUGCAGUUGCAUAUUGAGCUCCAUUUAAUUUGUAGGAUUGUUUGUGCACUUUGCCAUGCCAUGCCUCAUUAAACCGGACAUGCAUCAUACUCGUUUGUGCAUCAUGACUUGUUUAUGCUUGUUUGUUUACUAUGUUGUUUGUUUCUUUCCGGGUUGCUUCUCUCGUUAGCUUCGGUUUCGUUCCGGAGUUGUGAGGAUUUGUUCGUCUUCGUCCGUUCGUCUUCUUCAUGGACUCUUUCUUCUUCCUUGCGGGAUCUCAGGCAAGAUGAUCAUACCCUCGAAAUCACUACUAUCUUUGCUAUGCUAGUUUGCUCGCUCUUUUGCCAUGCCAAUGCUACGAUGCCUACCACUUGCUUGUCAGCCACCCAAAUUGCCAUGUUCAACCUCUAACCCACCAUGUCCUAGCAAACCAUUGAUUGGCUAUGUUACCGCUUUGCUCAGCCCCUCUUAUAGCGUUGUUAGUUGCAGGUGAAGAUUGAAGUUUGUUCCUUGUUGGAACAUGGAGUUCGUUCCUUGUUGGAAUAUUGUUUACUUGUUGGGAUAUCACAAUAUAUCUUACUUAAUUAAUGCAUCUAUAUACUUGGUAAAGGGUGGAAGGCUCGGCCUUAUGCCUGGUGUUUUGUUCCACUCUUGCCGCCCUAGUUUCCGUCAUAUCGGUGUUAUGUUCCCGGAUUUUGCGUUCCUUACACGGUUGGGCUAUAAUGGGAACCCCUUGACAGUUCGCCUUAAGUAAAGCUCUUCCAGCAAUGCCCAACAUUGGUUUUACCAUUUGCACUAACAACCUACCACCUUCCCUUGGGUUCUGCAGACUCAAGGGUCAUCUUUAUUCUAACCCCCCCGGGCCAGUGCUCCUUUGAGUGUUGGUCCGAACUAGAGCCCUGUGCAGCGCCCCCUCGGGGAAACUCGAGGUUUGGUUUUAGUUGUACGGAUUGCUCAUCUGAGUGUGCCCUGAGAAAGAGAUAUGUGCAGCUCCUAUCGGGAUUUGUCGGCACAUUCGGGCGGUGUUGCUGGUUUAGUUUUACCCUGUCGAAAUGUCUUGUUGUACCGGGAUACCGAGUCUGAUCGGAAUGUCUCGGGUGGAGGUCUAUUCCUUCGUUGACCGUGAGAGCUUGUCAUGGGCUAAGUUGGGACUCCCCUGCAGGGAUUGAACUUUCGAAAGCCGUGCCCGCGGUUAUGUGGCAGAUGGGAAUUUGUUAACGUCCGGUUGUAGAAAACCCGAAGUUGACCUUAAUUAAAAUACAUCAACCGUGUGUAUAACCGUGAUGGUAUCUUUCCGGCGGAGUCCGGGAAGUGAACACGGUGUUGGAGUUAUGCUUGAUGUAGGUUGCUAUAGGAUCACUUCUUGAUCAUACUUUUAUCGACCGUGCUUUGCCCUCUCUUCCCGCUCUCUUUUGCGAUUGUAGCCACCAUAUAUGCUAGUCGCUUGCUGCAGCUCCACCUCAUUACUCCAUCCUUCCUAUAAGCUUAAAUAGUCUUGAUCUCGCGGGUGCGAGAUUGCUGAGUCCCCGUGGCUCACAGAUACUUCCAAAACCAGCUUGCAGGUGCCGUUGAGUCCGUACAGAUGACGCAACCAAGCUCAGGAGGAGCUUGAUGAAGAUCUUGUCCUUUGUGUAGUUUCCGUUCUAGUUGAUCAGUAGUGGAGCCCAGUUGGGGUCGAUCGGGGACCUUUGUCGCAUUUGGGGUUCUUCUUUUAUUUUGGUUCCGUAGUCGGACCUUGGUUGUAUCUGGAUGAUGUAAUGCUUUACUCAUGUAAUUGUGUGAAGUGGCGAUUGUAAGACAACUAUGUAUCUCUUUCCCUUAUGUAUUACAUGGGUUGUGUGAAGAUUACCUCACUUGCGACAUUGCUUUCAAUGCGGUUAUGCCUCUAAGUCGUGCUUCGACACGUAGGAGAUAUAGCCGCAUCGAGGGCGUUACAAGUUGGUAAUCAGAGCCUUCCCCGACCUUAGGAGCCCCCACUGCUUGAUCGUUUUUAGCGGCCGAGUUGUGUCUAGAAAAAUGUUUUGAGUCCUUUAGGAAUUAUAUAUCGGAGAGUUAGGAAUUCUUUUUACUUCCCAGUCUCUUCAUCGCUCUGGUAAGGCAUCCUGACAUAGAGUUUUGACUCUUCUCUUCUCAAAUUUCACUAAAAAAAAA